rnacentral:lncRNA from 1 species
GGAAUGCGACGGAUAGGCUGGCGCUGCUUGCCAUCAAAGCUCAAAUAAAGCAAGAUCUCCAUAAUUACAACGUGAUGAGCUCCUGGAACGAAUCCACGCACUUUUGCAUGUGGCAUGGUGUGACGUGCAGUCGACGACAUCGCCAAAGGGUCACUAACCUGGACCUGCAAUCUCAAAAUCUGGUAGGGAACCUAUCCCCAAACAUUGGAAAUCUAAGUUUUUUAAGGGAGCUGUGGCUGCGAAAUAACAGCUUCAGUCAUGAAAUUCCUCCACAAAUUGGGAAUUUGCGUAGAUUGCAUGUAUUGCGAUUAGAUGUUAACUCGUUUAGUGGUAGUAUUCCACACAAUAUAUCACAUUGCUUCAACCUUAUCCUUGUGAAUUUCACUCGCAACAAGUUGGUGGGUAAAAUUCCUUCAGAAUUUGGAUUGCUAUCGAAGCUGCAACAUUUUUCAUCAAAUGUUAAUAAUGUAACGGGACAGGUCCCUCUUUCCUUGGGCAACCUUUCGUCUCUCCAGAGACUAAGUCUUGUUAGUAAUAACUUGAUGGGAAACAUCCCCAGUUCUCUUGGCCAAUUGAAAAAAUUAACCUUCUUGGCAUUGGGGUUAAAUCAGUUGUCUGGUAGCAUCCCUUCCUCCAUUUAUAACCUUUCUUCUCUUGUUACAUUUUUCAUAGGAGGUAACCAAAUUCAAGGGAGUAUUCCAUCAGAUAUUGGCAAAAGUCUUCCUAAUCUCGGAGUCUUCGACGUCGGCUCAAACCAAUUUACCGGGUCCAUUCCUCCCUCAAUAUCCAAUAUCACAAGUGUUUGGUCAUUUGAAGUUGGGCCAAACAACCUAAUCGGACAGGUACCGAAUCUCCAAAAGCUUCACAACCUCCUGUAUUUCAACAUUCAAUUUAAUAAUAUUGGAAGCGGUAAAGAUGGUGACUUAAGUUUUCUCUCGGACUUGGCCAAUGCCACCAAGUUAGAAUGGUUGGUUAUUAGCGACAACAAUUUUGGAGGGACAUUGCCCAUGUCAAUAUCCAAUCUCUCAACCAAACUUGAAAUGUUUUGGGUUGGCAGUAACCAAAUAUAUGGAAGCAUCCCAUCUGGGAUAGGGAAUCUGGUGAGCUUGCAAUCGUUGCCCUUCGGGAUUAAUAGCUUCACAGGUAACAUUCCCUCUGACAUCGGCAAGCUUUCAAACCUUGAAGCAUUACAAAUUUCCAUGAACAAAUUAUCUGGAAAUAUUCCGUCUUCCGUAAGAAAUUUAACCAAGUUAUACUAUCUUGCGCUGGAUGGAAAUCAUCUUGAGGGCAGCAUUCCUUCAGGUCUGGGGGAAUGCCAUGGGUUGCAAUUGUUGAAUCUUUCUUAUAACCUCCUAAAUGGCACAAUACCAAAACAAGUUUUUAGACUCUCCUCCUUAUCGAUUUCUUUGGACUUGUCUAAUAACCUCUUCACAGGUUCCCUUCCCCCGGAGGUUGGGAAUUUCCAGAGUCUAAGUGAACUUUAUCUUUCUGAUAACAUGUUAUCUGGAGAACUCCCCAGUAGCCUUGGUGGUUGUGAGAGUUUAGAAGUCCUGCAUUUGCAAGGAAACUUUUUCAACGGGUCCAUUCCUUUGUCUAUGAGUUCAGUGAGAGCAAUUCGAGAUCUAGACCUUUCUCGCAAUAAUUUUUCAGGGGAAAUUCCACAUUUUUUAGAAGGUUUUAGAUUCUUGAAUAAUCUGAACUUAUCAUUCAAUCAAUUUUGGGGAGUGGUACCAACUGGAGGUGUUUUCAAAAAUGCGAGUGCUAUUUCAGUUGUUGGCAAUACUAAUCUGUGCAGCCCUGUUGAUAAUUUAAAGCUUCCCAAGUGCAAGUCUAAAGAGACCAAGAAACGAAGAUUGUCUCGUAGCUUGAAACUAAUACUCCCUUUAGUAUUUGGACUUACUCUUCUAGGAAUAGCCAUGGUGUUCUUCUAUUUCUUUCUUUGUUCGUCAAGGAAGAAAAAGAAAGAAAUUUCAUUGAGCACUUUGGGGAACACUAUUUUGCAAGUGUCAUAUGCUACUCUACUCAAAGCUACUGACGGGUUCUCAAAGGCUAAUUUAAUUGGUGCUGGUAGUUUUGGGUAUGUGUACAAAGGAGUUCUUGAUGAGGAUGAUAAAUCUCAACUUGUUGCCGUGAAGGUGUUUAACUUGUUACGCCAUGGAGCUUCGAGGAGUUUCAUAGCCGAAUGUGAAGCUUUGAGAAAUAUUAGGCACCGAAAUCUUGUCAAGAUUAUAACCGUGUGUUCAAGUGUUGAUUUUCAUGGUAAUGAUUUCAAGGCUCUAGUUUAUGAGUUCAUGAACAACGGGAGCUUAGAAGAGUGGCUGCGUCCACCUACUGGAACUGAAGAGUUAAGAGAUCAUAUACCCAAGAAGUUAAGUCUUCUUCAUAGGCUAGAAAUUGCCAUUGGUGUUGCUUGUGCACUGGAUUAUCUUCAUAAUCAUUGUGAAACGCCAAUAGUUCAUUGUGAUCUCAAGCCAAGCAACGUUCUCUUGGACAACGAAUUGACUGGCCAUGUUUCUGACUUUGGAUUAGCAAGGUUUCUCUCACAAGUAACGAGUAAUGUUUCAGCAAUUCAGAGUCAGACAAGUUCCGUUGGAAUAAAAGGAACGGUUGGUUAUGCAGCUCCAGGUAUACAUAUGUUAGAUAUAUACUUCAUUAUAUUUCCUUUUUUAUUUUGUAGUAUUUAAUUUACAAAAUUCAAACUGAACUUUUUAUACACAAAUGUGAUGUUUGAAUUGUAGAGUAUGGCAUGGGGAGUGAGGUGUCAACGAACGGUGAUGUCUACAGCUUUGGCAUUCUCUUGUUGGAGAUGUUUACAGGGAAGAGACCCACUGACAACAUGUUUGGUGAUAGCUUGAACCUUCAUAACUUUGUCAAGAUGGCUCUCCCCGAGCGAGUUAUUGAGAUUGCAGAUGCACCACUUCUUGAAGGAGGCACGAACGACAAUCCCAAUCAAUGCAGUGCAAGAAUUCAUAAAGUUGAGGUGUGCUUGAGUUCAAUAUUUAGAAUUGGAAUUGAUUGUUCUGCUGAAUCCCCAACAGAUCGACUAAAGAAUAUCAAUGAUGCUGCAUCUGAACUUCAUUCAAUUAGGAAUACUUUUCUUGGGUAGAAACUCUUUUUUAUGUGCUUUUGUAAUAAGAGAAAUUUCGUUUACUGCCUAUGAAGUCUAGCUUUUACGUUACCGCAGUAGAUGUGGAAGUUUGCAAUGUAAAUAAUCACCAAUGAGGUUUGUUGUGUGAAGAUUGUAUUCCUACUUUUUGUACUUGGUAUUUUUGUGUAAUAUUCUCAUCAAUUAAAGUCUAGUUCGUGCCACAAAAUUGUUGAAUAUUCACAUUGACAGAUUCCAAAUUUUUGAAAGAUUCAUAACCUGAAGAGCCUCAACAUUCACAAAAUUAUCUUGAAAGCUGUAAAGAUGGUGAGUUGAGUUUCCUAUCAGACUUGACCACCAUCAAUGUAAUGUGUUUUCGAAAAUGAAAGUGCUAUUUCAAUUGUUGACAACACUAGAUUAUGCACGGCAAUUCCUAAUCUCAAGUUGCCCAAUUGCAAGUCUAAAGAGCUCCAAGAAAAGAAGAUUAGCUUAUUGCUUGAAAUUAAUAAUCCCUUUCUCAAAGGCCACUGAUCGGUUUUCUUCAGCUAAUUUGACAAUAAAGCUCGGCUUGUACUUGUAGCUAUGAAGGUGUUUAACAUGUUACGUCAUGGAGCAUCAAAGAGUUUCAUAGCCGAAUAUGAGGCUUUGAGAAAUAUCAAGCAUCAAAAUUCGUCAAGGUCAUAUCUGCAUGUUUUCUCGAUGAUGAUUUCAAGGCUCUAGUUUAUGAGUUGAUGCACCAAAGGAGUUUAGAGGAGUGGUUGCAUGAUUUGCAUCCACCUCCUGUAAUUGAAGAGGUAAGAGAUCAAUACAACCAAGAAUUAAUAUCUUCUUCAAAGGCUACAUAUUGUUAUUGGUGUUGCUAUUGUGCAUUGGAUUAUUUUCAUAACCAUAGCGAAUGGUCAUUUUUUGUAGAAUUUUAACCCCAUUUUAAAGCCCAUGGGCUAUGAAAAAUCAAGGUUGUCUAGCAUUGUUGCUAUAAUUAUUCGCCCAUGUGCAUUCUGAAUUCAAAUCCAAUAGUUUUAGUAGUCGUUCUAUCAAUCUUGACAAUAAAAGAGUAUUUAUUUUAUUUUUUCAAACAAAUAGUAUUAUUUCCACUAAGGGGAAGGGGAUAGGCUUAGCCUCACAAUGAUGUAGUUCAAAUUCGUAUUUGGCAAUAAUCGAACAUAAAAUUUAUCAGUUACAAGUUAAGAAAAUACCAUUAGACCGUAGUACUAAGUGGCAUAAAAGAGUUUCUAUUAAACCAGUAAAAUGAAAAUUCUCAACCAUUCAUUAAUGGAUUUGAAUUUAGAUUUAUUACAAUUGAUAGAUACUUUUUUUGGGCAAUCAAUAGGAUACUAACAAAUUUGUUUUUAGAACAAAGAUAUGUCACGAUAAUGUGACUUAAAGCUGUGUCAUUGGCCUUUUCACUUAUUGCCCUAUCUUUAACGCACUCCAAUUAAUAUCGUCCACUAAUAUUAGUAUUUAAUGAAUCUCAUCAUAAAUUGUUACCCAAAAUAUUAAUUAUCAAAGCAAAUAAACUUGAUUGAGUUUUAAAUUUUUCGUGACUAACUCCCAAAUAAUUCUCGUUACCAAGCAAAUUAAAUACCUUUAAUUAAAAGCUUAAAAACUUUUUAAUUAUUACCUCUCUAUUUUGCUUUUGCAAUCACGAGCGUACAAUAUUAUAGGAAUAUUUUUGUUCUUCACACUCAAAUGAUGGUAAUGCUCACUACCUUAUUUAUCACCAUUAUAUGAGUUUAAUAUCUUGGAUAGACAAUUAUCAAAAUUUAAACUCAUCCAACGGUAAUAAAUAAGGUGGUAAGCAUUACCACCACUUGAGGAUGUUGAAUAAAAAUCGCCCCAAUAAUAUUAGUUAAGUUAGUUGGUGUGGUAAUUGGUCUUUAGCAAGCUUCUUAUAGAAAAAAGAAGAAUCUGAGUACUUUGGCUGUUUUGCAGAAGAAAAAGAAAGAAAGGGGCAUUUGAUGUUUGGACAGAUAUUAUGGCUGUUUGGAUGAAAUUAUUUAUUAUGGCUGUCUAUGACAAUGAGAAAUUUGAUUCUUCUAGUUGUAGCUAGUCCCGUUUUCUAUGUUUAUUUGCUUUCUUAUAUGAUGGAAUGGCGUUUUACCAUGAGAUUGAAUGGUUUUUUAUUUGGUUCUUUGUUUAGUUUGAACUAGAAAAAUUGCCCACGCGCUGCUGUGGGUUUUGAAACCAUAAUGCAGAACAUACUACGAAUAUUUUCGACAGAAAAAGACACAAAUUAUUUAGAUUCAGUUCACUUCACAUCAACAUAGUGUGCAUAAUGAAGAGAGCGUAUAUUUGAAAGUUUGAAUUAAUGAAACAUAAAAAAAGGUCGUACCCAGUGCACAAGGCUCCCGCUUUACGCAGGGUUUGAGAGAGGUAAAUGUCGGCUAGCCUUACCCCCAUUUAUAGAGAGGCUGCUCCCAAGUCUCGAACCCGAGACCUACCGCUCAUGGGCGAAGGCACUUGCCAUCGCACCAAGUGCAACCUCUUUGAAUUAAUGAAACAUGCAACAACGAAAUAUAAUGUUUUUUAUCCCCCCCCCCCCCCCCAGUCCUAUAAAAAGAAGCAUAAAUGGAAAGGAUGGUUCCCAAACUUUGUUUCAAUUUAAGUUUUAUGGCUUUCCUACUCUGCCCUACAUCACAGAACAAAAAGAAGGUUACCUAAGAAUUCAUGCAUUCAUCUUCUAAACAUGCAACAGAAAAGCACUCAUGCAUAAUAAAGGGUACAUUGACAUUAAAUAGAUCAACUUAAGUGCUAACAGCCAAUCAACAAAUUGAACAUAAUUGAAGUUUUAGUAGAAUGAGUUAACAAAAAGGAAGCUUGGUUUCCGCAUGAAAGAAAAGAUCCGCUUGAAAUGGUAGUCAUUCAAGAUGUUUUCUGGUAUUUAUGCGAAUUCGGAAAUGCUAUAAAUGUAAAAGUUACCUCAAAAGCCUUUUCUGCGUUGGUUUCUGUAAUCACUCCUACUGCAGCAUUUGCAGUCAGUAUCAUGAGAAUAACAUGUGUCUAAGACCAAGUUGUAUCCCACGUGCUUAAUCAACAACAAACAUAGAAAACAGUUAUCAUAUAUCAUAAAAUUCCAAGUCUUAACUUGUAAAGUUUCAAGUGCUCAACAAAUUUUGAACAAUGUAUGGUUCAAAACUUAAAAAAAAAAAAGACAUGCAUCAAAGACUUUAGGGAGAAAAAAUAUGCAUUGGCUGAAAUAGAUAAUUAGGAUUUUAAAUGUUAAAAUUUUCUUUUUGGCUCACUAAUUAGUGCAAAAGUGAGAUUGUAUGAACAAUUUUACACCCGGAAACAUGAACUAUACAUAAUCACAACUAAUCUAACAAUGAGAAAGUAUAUAAGACAAAACACUAACAGAAGGCUAAAACACUCUUUUAUUUGAUCUAACAAUAGGGUAAUAGGAUUAACUAAAUCAUUAGAGACUGCAACAAUGAGAAAGUCUGAAGAUUAAAGUUCUUGUUGAAUACCUUGAAAAACAUUUUCAGUAAAUCCGUUCAGGAAAAUAUAGAAACUUAAGAUUCUAUGCAAUUCCAUCAUCCGGGAUAGCACAUAUUUACUUGGAAUCCAACCUUAAGCCAACAUUUUUCUAUCUAUAGCAUCCAUCAUACCUAAGACAUUUCUCAGUAGGGGCACAUGAACAAUCAUAAUUGAGAUUUCAUAAGUUUAUUUUUUUGUUAACUAUAGUGAAAUUUAUAAAACAAUUUUAGCAAAACUCGAGUGUAGAUAAUGGACUUUUGUUCCAGUUUAAAAAAUAUUGACUUGUGUUCUAAGCAACAUAAUGCAUUCACAUUUCAAUUGUCAAAAGGCAUCACAGUAAUCCCCAACAACAACAACAAAGCUUUUUCCUACUAAGUGGGGUCGGCUAUAUGAAUCCUAGAACGCCAUUGCGCUCGGUUUUGUGUCAUGUCCUCCAUUAGAUCCAAGUACUCUAAGUCUUUUCUUAGGGUCUCUUCCAGAGUUUUCCUAGGUCUUCCUCUACCCCUUCGGCCCUGAACCUCUGUCCCGUAGUCACAUCUUCGAACCGGAGCGUCAGUAGGCCUUCUUUGCACAUGUCCAAACCACCAUAACCGAUUUUCUCUCAUCUUUCCUUCAAUUUCGACUACACCUACUUUACCUCGGAUAUCCUCAUUCAUAAUCUUAUCCUUUCUCGUGUGCCCACACAUCCAACGAAGCAUCCUCAUCUCCGCUACACCCAUUUUGUGUACGUGUUGAUGCUUCACCGCCCAACAUUUUGUGCCAUACAGCAUCGCCGGCCUUAUUGUCGUCCUAUAAAAUUUUCCCUUGAGCUUCAGUGGCCUACGACGGUCACACAACACGCCGGAUGCACUCUUCCACUUCAUCCAUCCAGCUUGUAUUCUGUGGUUGAGAUCUCCAUCUAAUUCUUCGUUCUUUUGCAAGAUAGAUCCUAGGUAGCGAAAACGGUCGCUCUUUGGUAUUUCCUGAUCUUCGAUCCUCACCCCUAACUCAUUUUGGCCUCCAUUUGCCCUGAACUUGCACUCCAUAUAUUCUGUCUUUGAUCGGCUUAGGCGAAGACCUUUAGAUUCCAACACUUCUUUCCAAAGGUUAAGCUUCGCAUUUACCCCUUCCUGAGUUUCAUCUAUCAACAUUAUAUUGUUUGCGAAAAGCAUACACCAAGGAAUAUCAUCUUGAAUAUGUCCUGUUAACUCAUCCAUUACCAACGCAAAAAGGUAAAGACUUAAGGAUUGUUAAUGCACAAAAUCAAUGAGGACUUUGAUACAACAGAAAGUAUUAAGCUUGUGAUCUUCGCUAGAUUGCUCCGGUCAUUAGUGUGGAUAAAUAUGUAAAUGGAUAGAAACAGGAAAGCAAACACAAGAUGUACGUGGUUCACCCAGAUUGGCUACGUCCACGGAGUAGAGGAGUUCUCAUUAUUUUUGAAGGGUUUACACAAGUACAUAGGUUCAAGCUCUCCUUUAGUGAGUACAAGUGAAUGAUUUAGUACAAAUGACAUUAGGAAAUAUUGUGGGAGAAUAAUCUCGUAAUCACGAAACUUCUAAGUACUGAAGUGUGGUAUCGUCUUCACUUGCCUUAUCUGUCUCAUAGGUAGAUGUGGCAUCUUCUCUGGAAGUACUCUUCCUCCAUCCAGUGGUGAUAUCUUUAACUGGUGGAGAUGCACAAGGUAAUGUAUCAAUUUCACUUGAAGCUUACUUGUAGUUUCGGGCUUGGUCAAGUGUGAUACAAACCAUAUAGUAGGAGUCCCCCAAGUCGCCGAGCUAGGAGGAUCUGCCGAAAGAGGUGACAGACAAGGUAAGCAAUCAGACUUCCAAGCAAGCAGUCCCAGGAUCAGAAGUUUGAUUUCGGCUUCCGGUUGAUUGUUCUCAUUCUCCUUAUCUUGCAUUCAAGCAUGCCAGGAUAAAGAGAAGAAAAAUGGAGAAGAGAUGAUAUGAGAUACUUUUGCUUUUGAAGAAGUAACUUUCCACAGGCUUAUUCUUGAACUGGGCUGGAGGGUUUUCUGGUUUCCUUCAGAGUAUAAGGCCGACUGAAAAAUUUGAGGGUCAAAACAAGUCCAUCAAAUCUAGAGUACGUUCGACCCUGAUGAUAUGGGAUACUUUUGCUGUUGACAAAGUAUGUGGUAUGUAUCGGCACGUGUUUCUGUUACGCUUGUCUCCACAUGCUUCCUUGUAUCCUUCUCACUUGCCCUAUCUGUUCCUCAGGCAGAUGUAAAGGCCAAUAUCUUCUCUGGAAGCAUGAAGAUGUUGAAGAUGAGUACUCGAGAGCAAUGCUAAGGUAAGCAAUCAGGUAAGGGGUUCCAGGCAGUCAGUUCCUGAUUGGAAGUUUGAUUUCAGGUUCCUGACUGAUUGCUCUCUUUUUCUCCUUGUCCUUGCAGGUAAGUGGAACAAGGACAAAGGAAAAGACAGGGAAAAGCAUGAUAUGGGAUACUCUUGCUUUUAACCCUGAUGAUAUGAGAUAUUCUUGUUCUUGGUGUGGCUUGUUUGCUGAGGUAUUAUCGGGGGGAAAUAAAGCUGAGUAUUUCGAGAGGUUACUUCGUUGAGGAGUGCCUUUCUCAGAUAUGAGGAAAGGGUUGAGCAUUUUUGCAGGUUUGCCUGUCCGUUGAGGAGGGAGGUCGACAUGUAUAUAGGAGUCUCCCUAAUAACAAGUAGUAAUGCUAUUCCUUUACCCUUCUUGGUCACAGCAAUGUAGUGGGAGCUGCCAGCUUCACGUGUUUUUAAUUUUGUCAGAGCACUUUGAAAAAGUGGUAUGUGGUAUCUGGAAAGCUGAUGUUACGUGUGAAGAUUACAGACAAGCUUUAUCUAAGGAAAUCUGGCUCUCGAAGUUCUGAGAAAGUUGUGCCUCUUCGGUUUUCGAACAAGCAAUCCCUGUCGGGGAUCUGACUCUCGAGAUUCAGAGAAUAGUGCCUCUUCGAUUUUUUAGAAAGCAAUCCUGCUGGGAGUCUGGCUCUUGAGAUUCGGAGAGCGGUGUCUCGUCGAUUUUUGAGAAAGUAAUCAUGUUGGGAGUCUGGCUCUUAAAAUUCGGAAGGCGGUGCCUCUUCGACUUUGAAGCAAGCAAUCUUGUUGGGAGUGUUUUCUCGAAUGUGAGUAAAGGUUGGGCAUGUUUGCUAGUCUACCUUGCCACAAGAGCACGGAGGUUGACACACAUAGGGACUUUCCAAUUGUCAAGCAGUGGUGCUGUUCCUUUACCCUUGUGGGUAAUAAUAUGGUAGCUAGACCUUCAAAAUUUAUGCGUCUAAACUUUGUUAGUGUUGUUUCUUUGCUAUUCUUUUACCCUUCUUGGUCAUAGCGAUGUAGUGGGAGCUGCAAGCUUCACGUGUCUAAACUUUGUCAGAGAUCUUUGACAAAGUUAUAUGUGGUACCCGAGGAGUUGAUGGUGCAUAUGGAAAGUGGUGAUUGAACAGUAAGAUUCACGUGCUUUCUACUUCACCAGAAAUCUUCGACAGAUUGCCCGUAAUUUCCGCAAAGCUGAGUGUGCAUGUGACAGGUGCUGACGAGGCUGAAAAAGCAGGUGCUUCUUCGAUUUCUGAGAUCGGCCCUCGUGGUCUCUGAGCAGCCCAGCUUUUGAGAAAGCAAGCGCCUCUUCGAUUUCUGAGAUCGGCCUUCGUGGUCUUUGAGCAGCCCAGCUUUUGAGAAAGCAAACGCCUCUUCGAUUUCUGAGAUCGGCCCUCGUGGUCUCUGAGCAGCCCAGCUUUUGAGAAAGCAAACGCCUCUUUCGAUUUCUGAAGCUCCGUCGAGUGCAGAUUUUUUAUAGAGGCUGGCAUUAAGUUCCAAAGCACACUUGAAUCUCUACCAGUAGAAGCUCCAUUUCUUGCACUUCUAAGAUCUUGAUUUGUCUGACCUCUUCUCUUCUUCAACACAUUUGAAAAUGUCUGGACCCUCCGACCGUCGUUUUGACUUGAACCUUGGAGAAGAGGACAGCCACGCCUUCUCCAGACAACAUAUGGCGCCCAUCCUUCAUAUCCCCUACUGGUCCUCUUACCGUUGGGGAUUCUGUGAUGAAGAAUGAUAUGACCGCUGCAGUGGUGGCCAGGAACCUUCUCACUCCCAAAGAUAACAGACUACUUUCCAAACGGUCUGAUGAGUUGGCUGUUAAGGACUCUCUGGCUCUUAGUGUUCAGUGUGCAGGUUCUGUGUCUAAUAUGGCCCAACGCCUAUUUGCUAGAACCCGCCAAGUUGAAUCAUUGGCUGCUGAAGUGAUGAGUCUCAAACAGGAGAUUAGAGGGCUCAAGCAUGAGAAUAAGCAGUUGCACCGGCUCGCCCAUGACUAUGCUACAAACAUGAAGAGGAAGCUUGACCAGAUGAAGGAAUCUGAUGGUAAGGUUUUACUUGAUCAUCAGCGGUUUGUGGGUUUGUUCCAAAGGCAUUUAUUGCCUUCGUCCUCUGGGGCUGUACCUGGUAAUGAAGCUUCAAAUGAUGAACCUCCAAUGCCUCCUCCUUCUGGGGUUUUGUCAAGUACUGAGGCUCCGGAUAACCACCCUCCGGUGCUUUCUCUUUCUGGGGCUCUACCGACUGCUGAGACUUCCCCUAAGCAACCUUUGUGAAGGCUCCCUUUUGUUUGUUUAUUUUGACUCAUGUAUAUGUACAUAUUUGUGGCUUAUCGAAAAUAUUAAUAAAUAAGCUUUGCUUCAUUUCAACGUAUUGUGUUAAAUACACCAAAGCCUUCUUCACUAAGUUCUUUGAAUUUUUCUUUUGUUGAAGCUUGUAUGUUGAAGCUUUCAUUCAGUUUAUUUCACUUGUCCAUUGGAAUUUUAUUCAAAGAAUUAUCAAAUAAAGACAAUAGCAUGCCAAAGAUUAAAAACCCUCAUUUCAAACUUUGCUAAUGCAUAACUCUGUUUGGUUUUCUUCUCCGAAUACCAGACUGAGAGAGGAGUCAAGUUCUCUAGUGCACCAUCAAUCUCCUGUUUGAGAAACCAUCACCACAGCCACUCCCUUGAGGCACCACCGUCGCCAUUUUUCACGGAGAACAACGCCACCACGAAACCACCACCAUUAAUCUCGCCACCUACGCAACUUUUACCAUCCCCGAACCCACCCUCUGCAAAUUGCCCUCAUCCCUUCUAAUUUCAUUUCUUGCAUUUCUUGUAUGGUAUCCAUUUCUUGCACACUCAAAUAUUUAUAUACCAACUGAGAAUAACAAUAUAAAUCCCACACCCACCCCUUUUCCCCACUUGAAAAAUUCACCAAAAGACCGCAUUAACCACCAUAGUUUAAGAAUCCAGACCCCAAAUUUCAAUCUAAUUAAUUAAAUUACAGAUGAUUCUAUCUACCUCAUGAAAACAAAUAUGUUCAGUUAAAGAAAUUCCAUAAUCACUGCAUCUUAAACCACUUCUUAAAUAUGUCCGCCAUACCAAUCUAAUAAAAAAUCCAUGUUCAAUCGAUUCUUAUUAAUUCCAACACCAAGUAUUUCAGCAUCUAGAUUAUAGAAAAAUCACAAUAAAACAAACUCAGAACACCCAGAUUCCAAUCUUGGUGCUAAAGCACACUUUGUUAACCUCACCUUCAUCAAGUCCAUGUUUCCUGCCAUGAGAUCUUUCUCUUUAUCCAGACUUGCCUUUAGCUGCAAGAUCAAAAUAAUGAAGCAUUCAAUUCCAUUUCUAUACUCAUAAAAUUAAAAAUUGAAAUAUGUCAUAAUUUACUCGGAAUCUUCAUAUGUAUUAUGAAAGCAUAUGAACAGAUACAUUUGAAAACUUAUAACGCUACCUAAUAAAGUUGAAAAGUAACUAAUUAAGAUCAAGUUCCAGUGCAUCCAGUGAGCCUUCCAGGGAAAGAUGGCCCCAUGGACUUAGACCUUGAAAACUGAGGCUUGUUUUGCCUUGUAAUUGUAUGAUCAGUAGCAUCCUUAUGGAUUGCAAUUGUAUGAUCAGUAGUAUCCUUAUGGAUUCCCAAAUUAAUCCUCAAAAUUUUGUUCUCAUCCGAUAGCUUAUGCACCUGGGACAAAAGUCGCUCAAUUGUUUCACUAUUCUCCUUGUUUCUCUUUAUCAACUCAGCCCGGUGCUGCAUAUUUUCGUCAAUGAGUUCUGAGAUCUUUUCGUGCAACAUUUUCUCUUUUUCAACCACAUUACCAUCACAUUCUACACCAUUAUCAAUAUUCUUCUCUUCCAUAUAUUCUUCGAAUGUACACAAAACCUUUUUUUAGGACAUACCAGCAUUUGUUUGUUUUGAUGGCUCUGAUUUUGGUUUCCGUUUUCUCUUUUGUGGUGGUCUAAUCAAGAUGCACUCCAAAACACUAAUUUGAGUGCCUACACAGAUGAACAUCGCAUAAAAAUCAUAAAAAAAAAUCCAAAACAGCAGCAGAGAUAAAAAAAUGAUAAUAACUCUAAAAAAAAUUUAAAUCAAAAGCUAAGACUAACUCACAGAAUUUUUGGGCAAAAAAAUUUCUUUAAAUACUAAUUUAAUGCAAUCCAGGAGCUAAAUGCUUAAAUCAGAAAAAAUCCUUUAACCCAGAUACUCCUAUGGUCACAAAUACUGAUAUUUGUGCAGUGCAGCAAAGUUUUUCUUGAAACUUGACGUAUGUCACUAAAAUUAUCCCAAAUAUAUCUCAGAGAUUGCAGAAAUUCAGACUAUCAAUAAUGAGACAGCCGGAAUGUUUUACCCUAAUCUUAUUAGGAUUUUUAACUAAACAACUUGCUCAUGUAACAGCUAUAUUACAGCAUAAAUAUUCAUGAACACUCAUCACCAAUAGCAAAAAGGAGCAAAGUACUAUUACAGAAAUCUAAAGAUACCCAUCAACAAUAUAACAAAAAAAAUUGCGGUGAGAUUUUAAAAUACCAACUUUAUUCGAUAUUACAAUGAAAUAUAACAAAAAGAAAAAUAAAAACAAAAUGUACAAAAAUCAUUAUUUUCAUAAAUAGACAGUGGAAUAACAGAAGAAGCCAAACCCAGAAAAAUUAAAAACAUAGAAUCACAGUAGAAGAAGCACACCAUUUCAGAUCUUUUUAUCCUCUUUGAAGAUCGAUCGAUUCCAGAGAGAGAGAGAGGAGGAGGGAGAAGACAAAUGGGAGAGGAGGUAGACGGAGGCGAGAGGAGGAAAACGACGGAGGUAGUUUAUCGGAAGCAUGUCUUGUCUUGCGUUGCUAGUCAACAAGUCAGUGGAAUCCUCACAAAAUCCCUCACUCAAUCGGGUCAGUGACAACUCCCUCAAUUUUCUCCCUCUCAAUCUCUCAAUCAUCGACAACUACCCAUUAAUUAAGGCUUCUAGUGGCAAUUUUGACCAAUCCCUUAAUCCCGACACCAACCCUUGAUUUGAGGAGGAAAAAUCAACCCUAACCCCCUUUAUGGCAACCUUACUAAGUCACGCCUCCCUCUCACUUCCCCUCCCUGCCAUCCCCCAACUAUCUCCCUCUCUGUCUCUGCACCCCAUGCUUUUUGGCAAUGGCACGAAUGUAAAUAAUACAAAAUCAAAGGAUCAUUUCAAAACAACAUAAAUAGACUGGCAAAACCGUAAAUAUUUCGAAAUCUGUUCAGAUACAAAAUUACCUUCCUAACUUUUAAUAUUUACCCACCAACCCAGUCUCAAAUUUGAUGGCAAUGGUGUAAAUAAAGCAAAAUCGAGUGACAUGUAGAAUAGGUAAUAUCUAUGUGUAGAAAACCUGUAACGGGAAAAUUGAAUUGUAGGAGCCGUAGCUCAUAUUCAUUCAUUGAUAGUGUAUAAAUAUAUUUGAUUACAAAGAGUCCUACAGGGCUCCAGUUCUGCUGUCCCCUUUUGUGUGUCUCCUUUAUGUUUCAACUUUCAUUGCUAAUAUUUUGACACAUGUCUUCUAGCUUAACUUAGUUUCUAACUUUGUUAACUUUUUAUUUAACAUUUAAAAGUAAAAAGAAAAAUCCAAAAUAAUCUGACUGUUGGGUUCUCGAGGUCUGCAAAUCCAAAAUAGAAUUCUUUCUGUGGCUGUCGGGUUACCAACGUGAGCAAACCUCUUCCCAAUUUUUCUCCAUCGUUGUACUGCUUCUUCACUUCUUUCCAGGCCAGCUCUGGUUGAGCUUGGAUUAUGUCCAGUUGAAAGUUGAAAACAAGCUUACCAUGAGACCCCAUAUCCUGCCAACUUUCUCUACCAAAUAUGCCAAAAGCUGUUGGCUGAAGUCAAUGAGAAGAUCAUGGAAUAUGGAUUUGCUGAGAGGUGGUAGAGUGAGAGAUUUUUCAGGUGUGAAAUCCCAUUGUAUUCUAGGAGUCAAGGAUUCUCUGGGAAUUCUGGAUCGAAGAAGACUUAUAAAUUGUUUAGUGAAGACGGAAACGAUUCGAAACAGUGGGACAAGCAUACUGGGUGAAUAGUUGAGUAAGCGAACGGAGGGCUUUAUUCAUUAUCAAUUGUGUGUAUGUUGCUGUUGUUACUGUCGUGCAGAAAAUCUCAGUUUGAGGUGACUGAGAUUACAACAAAUAUGAAAUCAUCCCUCACAGUUGUAGUGCUCUGUAUGUCCUUUAAAUGCAAGAACUGAUUUGUGACUCGAAGAAAGCUCUUGCAGGGUUCGUUUGCUUGGUGUCAAACGAAUUUCACUCUAAAAACAAAAUAAAAUUCUUUUUUCUCAAUCAAACUAUUUUAUGAGUCAUCAGAAAAUCACAAGAAUUGAUAGUCGCUACUACUUUCCAAACAUCAAACUAUUGAACUAAACAUGGUAAAUACCAAUAUUAAACUAAACAUGGUAAAUACCAAUAAUAUAUGAUAAUAUUUGGGAAUUUCUUAUAUUUCAUUAAUCUCCAAAGUGGAGUAUAUAUAGGAGUUACAAUUGGUAUUACAUAUGUACUUCACAAAUGUGGGACAAUAAACUACUAUUUACAUUUUAACUAAUGUAUAACUCGCAACACUCCCCCUCAAGUUGGUGCAAAGAUGUCAUGCAUGCCCAACUUGUCAAGCGAGUCGGAAAAUGCACUAUUAGACACAGCCUUAGUAAGAGCAUCAGCCAGUUGAUCUUCAGAUCUCACAAACGGAAACAUAAUAAUUCCUGCAUCCAAUUUUUCCUUAAUGAAAUGUCGAUCAAUCUCCACAUGUUUUGUUCGAUCAUGUUGCACUGGAUUAUGAGCAAUCUCAAUAGCAGCCUUGUUAUCACAAUGGAGUUUCAUAGCACUUUUGUGUUUAAACCCAAGAUCUCUCAACAAUUUUUUCAACCACAACAACUCACUUACACUAUGAGACAUACCACGAAACUCAGCUUCUGCACUUGACCUAGCCACCACUUUUUGUUUCUUGCUUCUCCAAGUAACUAAAUUACCACCCACAAACAUAAAGUAUCCAGAUGUAGAUCGUCGAUCAGUGAUAGAACCAGCCCAAUCUGCAUCUGUAUACCCUUCGACAUUCAAAUGAUCAUUCUUGGAGAAAACCAGGCCUCUGCCAUGAGCCAUCUUCAAGUACCUCAAAAUACGAGUUACUGCAUCCAUAUGAGCUUCACUAGGUGAGUGCAUAAACUGACUUACCACACUAACUGCAUAAGCAAUGUCAGGGCGAGUGUGAGACAAAUAAAUUAAUCUCCCCACAAGCCUCUGAUACCAUUCCUUAUGAGUUGAAACUUGAUCUGGAAAUAAGCCCAGACGAUGAUUCUGCUCAAUCGGAGUAUCAACAGGUUUGCAAUCUAACAUACCUGUUUCAGCUAACAAAUCAAGAACAUACUUCCUUUGAGAUAGAAAAAAUACCAUGCUUGGAUCGUGCAACCUCGAUUCCAAGAAAAUACUUCAAUUCACCCAAUUCUUUCAUCUCAAACUCAGUAGCUAGGUACUUUUGAAGGUGUUGUAUCUCCUUUUGAUCAUCACCAGUCACUAUCAUGUCAUCAACAUAAAUAAUCAAUGCAGUUAGCUUACCAUUUUGUCGCUUUAGAAACAAAGUAUGAUCUGAAUGACUCUGGAUAUACCCAAACUUCUUCAUUGAACUUGUAAACCUCCCAAACCAUGCUCUAGGAGAUUGUUUCAAACCAUACAAGGCCUUUCGUAACCUGCAUACAAUACCUUUUCCAGGAGAUGUUCCAAUACCAGGUGGGAGAUCCAUAUACACUUCCUCCUUAAGAUCACCAUGAAGGAAAGCAUUCUUAACAUCAAACUGCAACAGAGGCCAAUCCUGGUUUGCUGCCAAGGACAGAAGAACACGCACAGUAUUAAGUUUGGCAACAGGAGCAAAGGUCUCCUGAUAGUCCACCCCAUAGGUUUGAGUAUAACCCUUAGCAACUAAUCUGGCUUUAUACCGAUCAAUAGAACCAUCUGCUUUGUGCUUAAUAGUAAACACUCAUCUACAUCCAACGGCUUUCUUCCCGUUUGGUAACGGAACAAAAUCCCAAGUAGAAUUCUUUUCCAAAGCUUCCAUCUCAACUUUCAUAGCAUUAACCCACUUAGGGUCAGACAAAGCAUCUUGCAAUUUUGUUGGAAUUGAUACACUAGAUAGCUGACAUAUGUAAGAUGCAUAUGGUUGGGACAAACGAUGAGAAGACACAUAAUUGUUGAUAGGAUAUUUGGCUUUGGCAUGCAUAUCAGGCUCAUAUUGUACUUUAGGUUUUCCACGAUUAGCUCGUGGAGGCAACUGAUAAGUAGAAGAAUCGUCAGAAUUUACCUCAUGUAUGCCACCAUCUUGUACCAAACAGUUAGAAGAAUCAUCACUGGACGAACCAUCAUCAGGCAACUCGUUAGACAUAUCAGCAGCAGGCAACCGAUCAUCAGAAGGUAAUUCAUCAGAUAUAUCCGCAGCAGGCAACCGAUCAUCAUCUGUAGCCGACUGAUUAGUAUCACGCAAAAUAAUAUGUUCUGUUCCCAACUCUGUCUGUAACACAUCAUCCAUAUCAUCUCUUCGAAUCUGCACUUCACUCCCCCUCUCCCCUUGAAGUGGAGAGUCGGAAGAGGGCUUCACAAAAUACGAAACUUCCUCAUGGAAGGUGACAUCCAUGGUAAUAUAAGUUUUUUGAGUCGGAGGAUGAUAACACUUAUAGCCUUUUUGAUUGUUAGCAUACCCAAUAAAGACACACCAGAGAGCACAUGCAUCAAGUUUACUCCGCUGAUGAGAGUAGACAUGCACAUACGCAAUACACCCAAACACUUUCGGAGGAAGCUUUGAGACAGAAACAAGAGAAACAUGUUUUUGUAGCACAUCAAACGGUGUCUGAAAAUCAAGAACCCGACUUGGAACACGAUUGAUCAAAUACACAGCAGCCAAAACAGCAUGACCCCACAAAUGAUUAGGAACACAUUUAUCUAACAUCAAUGAGCGAGCAACCUCCAUUAUUUGACGAUUCUUCCGUUCGGACACACCAUUUUGUUGAGGUGUAAACGGAGUAGUCGUCUGGUGAAUAAUACCAUGAUCACGGAAAAAACAUGCCAAAGUGUGAUUCACAUAUUCUCCUCCGUUAUCAGACCUGAAGACCUUAACUUUGGUCUGAAACUGAGUAGAUACCAUUGUACAAAAUUCUUGAAGAAGUAAUGGAACAUCACUCUUAUUUUUCAUCAAGAACACCCAAGUUACCCGAGUACAAUCAUCAAUAAAAGUAACAAACCAACGGAAUCCAUUAGAAGUAACUUUUGCAGGACCCCACACAUUAGAAUGUAUCAAAUCAAAUGGUAAAGUAGCUUUAGAAUCACUUACAGGAAAGGAAGCACGAUGACUCUUAGCCAUGACACAUGUUUCACACUUGAACUCUGAAUCACUACAAGUGCGAAACAAAGAAGGAAAUAGAUGCUUCAUAUAACUGAAUGAUGGAUGUCCCAAUCGUCGAUGCCAUAACCAAAUUUGAUGUCUGUUAUCCACUUUAGCACUUAAAACUUGAUGAUGAUUUGAACCGGAAACAACAGUAUCCUCCAUAGUCAAGAUGUACAAACCCCUUAUCCUUUUACCAUAACCAAUUAUCUUCUGAGUUUGAAUAUCUCGAAAAUAACAAUACGUAGGAUAGAAGUGAGUAGAACAAUAUAAAGUAUCAAGAAGUUUUCCUACCGACAAAAGAUUGCACUUAACAUCAGGAACAAGUAAAGCACGGACCAGUGAUAAGGUUGGAGUCAAAGAGAUAGUGCCUUCACCCUUCACAGGGGAAAGUGCUCCAUUUGCACUAGUAAUAUACGGAUCACGAACAUAAUCACAUAACUCAUCAAACACUCUAGGGUCACUUGUCACAUGAUCAGUGGCCCCAGUAUCAAUUAUCCAUUUAUUUGUUCCACCAAGAUGCAUAACAACACUAUGAUUAUAUUGAGCCAUUGAACAAAAUCACGAACAAUAAAGGCACAAAAGAUAUGCAGCGGAAUGAAAACAAUUUACCAGAGUACUGUAGCAAUCACUGUUCACGGCACUGUAGCAAUACCAUUCACGGCACUGUAGCAAAUAACAAUCACUGUCCACGCACUGUAGCACGACACUUUUUUUUUCACACGGAGGAAAUCACGAAAAAUGUGGCACAAAAUUUAAAGCACAUAGGUCACCAAGAGCGAACUGCUCUGAUGCCAUAUUGAACUAAACAUGGUAAAUACCAAUAUUAACUAAACAUGGUAAAUACCAAUAAUAUAUGAUAAUAUUUGGGAGUUUCUUAUAUUUCAUUAAUCUCCAAAGUGGAGUAUAUAUAGGAGUUACAAUUGGUAUUACAUAUGUACUUCACCAAUGUGGGACAAUAAACUACUAUUUACAUUUUAACUAAUGUAUAACUCGCAACACAAACCAAAUAAAAUUAAUCUUUAAUAAAAAGUAUUAACUGAAACUUUAGUCCCAAAACAGAGUAAAUUCGUUGAGCAUUUUUCUCAUAGCAUCUUGCACUUUCAUAUCAUUAUCAUGAGUCUUUGUGGUGCUUGUCAUUUGAGAGCUGAUCAAAGCCUAAAUCCUUCUUUGGUGCUUUUCAUAUGCUUCGGUUCCAUUGGCUUCACAGGGAUUAUUUUAUCCGUCCAUGUCCUUGAGGAAAAAUGAAAAAUACAAUAUGAGAGCCAAAUUUAUAUAUGAAUAAGAAGCAAGAAAACUAUAGAUGAUUCAAAUAUAUAUAUAUAUAUAUAUAUAUCCUAUACUUGAUUCGUUGCUUAACUUCUCAAGGAUAAACUAUAGAGAAAACGCGGUACAACCAUGGCGAAAACGAACUCCUAUAAGAGCUUGUUUUCAAGUUUCAACAACAACAACAACAACAAAGCCUUUUCCCACUAAGUGGGGUCGGCUAUAUGAAUCUUAGAACGCCAUUGCGCUCGGUUUUGUGUCAUGUCCUCCGUUAGAUCCAAGUACUCUAAGUCUUUUCUUAGAGUCUCUUCCAAAGUUUUCCUAGGUCUUCCUCUACCCCUUCGGCCCUGAACCUCUGUCCCGUAGUCACAUCUUCGAACCGGAGCGUCAGUCGGCCUUCUUUGCACAUGUCCAAAUCACCAGAGCCGAUUUUCUCUCAUCUUUCCUACAAUUUCGGCUACUCCUACUUUACCUCGGAUAUUCUCAUUCCCAAUCUUAUCCUUUCUCGUGUGCCCACACAUCCCACAAAGCAUCCUCAUCUCCGCUUACGUGUUGAUGUUUCACCACCCAACAUUCUCUGCCAUACACCAUCGCUGGCCUUAUUGCCGUCCUAUAAAAUUUUCCCUUGAGCUUCAGUGGCCUACGACGGUCACACAACACGCCGGAUGCACUCUUUCCAUCCAGCUCGUAUUCUAUGGUUGAGAUCUCCAUCUAAUUCUCCGUUCUCAUGCAAGAUAGAUCCUAGGUAACGAAAACGGUCACUUUUUGUGAUCUUCGCUAUAUUGCUCCAGUCAUUAGUGUGGAUAAGUAUAUAAAUGGAUAGAGAUAGGAAAGCAAACACAAGAUGUACGUGGUUCACCCAGAUUGGCUACGUCCACGGAAUAGAAGAGUUCUCAUUAAUUGUGAAGGGUUUACAAAAGUACAUAGGUUCAAGCUCUCCUUUAGUGAGUACAAGUGAAUGAUUUAGUACAAAUGACAUUAGGAAAUAUUGUGGGAGAAUGAUCUCGUAAUCACGAAACUUCUAGAUGUGGCAUCUUCUCUGGAAGUACUCUUCCUCCAUCCAGGGGUGGUAUCUUUAACUGGUGGAGAUGCACAAGGUAAUGUAUCAAUUUCACUUGAAGCUUACUUGUAGUUUCAGGCUUGGUCAAGCGCGAUACAAACCAUGUAGUAGGAGUCCCCCAAGUCGCCGAGCUAGGGGGUCUGCUGAAAGAGGUGACAGACAAGGUAAGCAAUCAGAGCUCCGACUGAUUGUUCACCUUCUCCCCAUCUUGCAGCAGCAUGAAGGAUAAAGAGAAGAAAAAUGAGAAGAGAUGAUAUGAGAUACUUUUGCUUUUGAAGAAGUAACUUUCCACAGGCUUAUUCUUGAACUGAGCUGGAGGGUUUUCUGGUUUCCUCCAGAGUAUAAGGCCGACUGAAGAAUUUGAGGGUCAAAACAAGUCCAUCAAAUCUAGAGUACGUUCCACCCUGCUGAUAUGGGAUACUUUUUCUUUUGACAGAGUAAUGGAUGUAUCGGCACGUGUGCUGUUACGCUUGUCUCCACAUGCUUCCUUGUAUCCUUCGCACUUGCCCUAUCUGUUCCUCAAGCAGAUGCGGAAUCUUCCCUGGAGACAUAAGAUGUUGAAGAUGAGUACUCGAGAGCAAUGCCAGGUAAGUAAUCAGGUAAGGGGUUCCAGGCAGUCAGUUCCUGACUGGAAGCUUGAUUCCAAGUGCUGACUGAUUGCUCUCUUUCUCCUUGUCUUGCAGGUAAAAACAAGGCCAACAGAAAAAACGGGGAAAAAGCAUGAUAUGGGAUACUCUUGCUUUUAACCCUGAUGAUAUGAGAUAUUCUUGCUCUAGUAUAGCUUGUUUGCAGAGGUAUUAUCGGGGGGAAAGAAAGCUGAAUAUUUCGAAAGGCUUUGUUGGGAGUGCCCUCUCAGAUAUGAUGAAGGGUUGAGCAUUUUUGCAGGUCUGCCUGUCCGUUGGGGAUGGAGGUCGACAUAUAUAGGAGUCUCCCUAACAACAAGUAGUAAUGCUAUUCCUUUACCUUGGUAGUGGGAGCUGCCAGUUUCACAUGUUUUAACUUUGUCAGAGCACUUUGAAAAAGUGGUCUGUGGUAUCUGGCUCUCGAGAUUCGGAGAACGAUGCCUCUUCGAUUUUUGAGAAAGCAAUCAUGCUGGGGGUCUGACUCUCGAGAUUCGGAGAGCAGUGUCUCUUCGAUUUUUUUUAGGAAGUAAUCAUGUUGGGAGUCUGGCUCUCGAGAUUCGGAGGGCGGUGCCUCUUCGAUUUUGGAGCAAGCAAUCUUGUUGGGAGUGUUGUCUCGAAUGUGAGUAAAGGUUGAACAUGUUUGCUAGUCUACCUUGCCACGAAGCACAAAGGUUGACACACAGGGACUUUCCAAUUAUCCAGCAAUGGUACUGUUCCUUUACCCUAUCUUCGAUUUUGAGAAAGUAGUCAUGUUGGGAGUCUGGCUCUCGAGAUUCGGAGGACGGUGCCUCUUCGAUUUUGGAGCAAGCAAUCUUGUUGGGACUGUUUUCUCGAAUGUGAGUAAAGGUUGGGCAUGUUUGCUAGUCUACCUUGCCACGAAGCACAGAGGUUGACACACAGGGACUUUCCAAUUAUCCAGCAGUGGUACUGUUCCUUUACCCUUGUGGGUAAUAAUAUGGUAGCUAGACCUUCAAAAUUUAUGUGUCUAAACUUUGUUAGUGCUGUUUCUUUGCUAUUCUUUUACCUUUUCUUGGUCAGAGCGAUGUAGUGGGAGCUGCAAGCUUCACGUGCUCAACUUUGGCAGAGAACUUUGGCAAAGUUGAUCUGUGGUACCCAUGAGUUAUUGUUGCGUGUGGAAGUGGGUGAUUGAACAGUAAGAUUCAUGUGCUUUCUACUUCACCAGAAGUCUUCGACAGAAUGCCCAUAAUUUCUGCAAAGCUGAGUGUGCGUGUGACAGGUGCUGACAAGGCUAGAAAAGUAGGUGCCUCUUCGAUUUCUGAGAUCGGCCCUCGUGGUCUCUGAGCAGCCCAGCUUUUGAGAAAGCGAGCGCCUCUUCGAUUGAUUCGGAGAACGGUGCCUCACCGAUUUUUGAGAAAGCAAUCAUGCUGGGGGUCUGGCUCUCGAGAUUCGGGGAGCAGUGUCUCUUCGAUUUUUUGAGAAAGUAAUCAUGUUUGGAGAGUCUGGCUCUCGAGAUUCGGAGGGCGGUGCCUCUUCGAUUUUGGAGCAAGCAAUCUUGUUGGGAGUGUUUUCUCGAAUGUGAGUAAAGGUUGGGCAUGUUUGCUAGUCUACCUUGCCACGAAGCACAAGAGGUUGACACACAGGGACUUUCCAAUUAUCCAGCAAUGGUACUGUUCCUUUACCCUCUCUUCGAUUUUUAAGAAAGUAGUCAUGUUGGGAGUCUGGCUCUUUAGAUUCGGAGGACGGUGCCUCUUCGAUUUUGGAGCAAGCAAUCUUAUUGGGAGUGUUUUUCUCGAAUGUGAGUAAAGGUUGGGCAUGUUUGCUAGUCUACCUUGCCACGAAGCACAGAGGUUGACACACAUGGACUUUCCAAUUAUCCAGCAGUGGUACUGUUCCUUUACCCUUGUGGGUAAUAAUAUGGUAGCUAGACCUUCAAAAUUUAUGGGUCUAAACUUUGUUAGUGCUGUUUCUUUGCUAUUCUUUUACCCUUCUUGGUCAGAGCGAUGUAGUGGGAGCUGCAAGCUUCACGUGCUCAACUUUGGCAGAGAACUUUGGCAAAGUUAUCUGUGGUACCCAUGAGCUAUUGUUGCGUGUGGGAAGUGGGUGAUUGAACAGUAAGAUUCAUGUGUUUUCUACUUCCCCAGAAGUCUUUGACAGAAUGCCCAUAAUUUCCGCAAAGCUGAGUGUGCGUGUGACAGGUGCUGACAAGGCUGGAAAAGUAGGUGCCUUCUUCGAUUUCUGAGAUCGGCCCUCGUGGUCUCUAGGGAGCCCAGCUUUUGAGAAAGCGAGCGCCUCUUCGAUUUCUGAGAUCGGCCUUCGUGGUCUUUGAGCAGCCCAACUUUUGAGAAAGCAAACGGCCUCUUCGAUUUCUGAGAUCAACCCUCGUGAUCUCUAAGCAGCCCAAGCUUUUGAGAAAGCAAACGCCUCUUCGAUUUCUGAGCAGGCGCCUCUUUCGAUUUCUGAAGCUCCGUCGAGUGCAGAUUUUUUAUAGGGGCUGGCAUUAAGUUCCAAAGCACACUUGAAUCUCCACCAGUAGAAGCUUCAUUCUUGCACUUCUAAGAUCUUGAUUUGUCCGACCUCUUCUCUCUUCAACACCUUUGAAAAUGUCUGGCCCCCUCCGACCGUCGUUUUGACUUGAACCUUGUUGAAGAGGCAGCCCCGCCUUCUCCAGACAACAUAUGGCGCCCAUCCUUCGUCUCCCCAACUGGUCCUCUUACCGUUGGGGAUUCCGUGAUGAAGAAUGAUAUGACCGCUGCGGUGGUGGCCAGGAACCUUCUCACUCCCAAAGAUAACAGACUACUUUCCAAACGGUCUGAUGAGUUAGCUGUUAAGGAUUCGCUGGCUCUCAGUGUUCAGUGUGCAGGUUCUGUGUCUAAUAUGGCCCAACGCCUAUUUGCUCGAACCCGCCAAGUUGAAUCAUUGGCGGCUGAAGUGAUGAGUCUCAAACAGGAGAUUAGAGGGCUCAAGCAUGAGAAUAAACAGUUGCACCGGCUCGCACAUGACUAUGCUACAAACAUGAAGAGGAAGCUUGACCAGAUGAAGGAAACUGAUGGUCAGGUUUUACUUGAUCAUCAGAGAUUUGUGGGUUUGUUCCAAAGGCAUUUAUUGCCUUCGUCUUCUGGGGCUGUACCGCGUAAUGAAGCUCCAAAUGAUCAACCUCUGAUGCCUCCUCCUUCUAGGGUUCUGUCCAGUACUGAGGCUCCAAAUGAUCCCCCUCCGGUGCCUUCUCUUUCUGGGGCUCUACCGACUGCUGAGACUUCUCCUAAGCAACCUUUGUGAAGGCUCCCUCUUGUGUGUUUAUUUUGACUCAUGUAUAUGUACAUAUUUGUAGCUUAUCGGGGAUAUCAAUAAAUAAGCUUUCCUUCAUUUCAACGUAUUGUGUUAAAUACACCAAAGCCUUCUUCGCUAAGUUCUUUGAAUUUUCUUUUGUUGAAGCUUGUAUGUUGAAGCUUUCUGAGUGGAGCAUGUAGGUUGGGGUAGUGUUCCCUUAAUUUCCCGAGUGAGGAAAACUUCUUGGUUGGAGACUUGGAAAAUCCAAGUCACUGAGUGGGAUCGGCUAUAUGAAUCUUAGAACGCCAUUGUGCUCGAUCCUGUGUCAUGUCCUUCGUUAGAUCCAAGUACUCUAAGUCUUUUCUUAGAGUCUCUUCCAAAGUUUUCCUAGGUCUUCCUCUACCCCUUCGGCCCUGAACCUCUGUCCCAUAGUCGCAUCUUCUAAUCGGAGCGUCAGUAGGCCUUCUUUGCACAUGUCCAAACCACCGUAACCGAUUUUCUCUCAUCUUUCCUUCAAUUUCGGCUACUCCUACUUUACCCCGGAUAUCCUCAUUCCUAAUCUUAUCCUUUCUCGUGUGCCCACACAUCCAACGAAGCAUCCUCAUCUCCGCUACACCCAUUUUGUGUACGUGUUGAUGUUUCACCGCCCAACAUUCUGUGCCAUACAGCAUCGCCGGCCUUAUUGCCGUCCUAUAAAAUUUUCCCUUGAGCUUCAGUGGCAUACGGCGGUCACACAACACGCCGGAUGCACUCUUCCACUUCAUCCAUCCAGCUUGUAUUCUAUGGUUGAGAUCUCCAUCUAAUUCUCCGUUCUUUUGCAAGAUAGAUCCUAGGUAACGAAAACGGUCGCUCUUUGGUAUUUCUUGAUCUCCGAUCCUCACCCCUAACUCGUUUUGGCCUCCAUUUGCACUGAACUUGCACUCCAUAUAUUCUGUCUUUGAUCGGCUUAGGCGAAGACCUUUAGAUUCCAACACUUCUCUCCAAAGGUUAAGCUUUGCAUUUACCCCUUCCUGAGUUUCAUCUAUCAACACUAUAUCGUCUGCGAAAAGCAUACACCAAGGAAUAUCAUCUUGAAUAUGUCCUGUUAACUCAUCCAUUACCAACGCAAAAAGGUAAGGACUUAAGGAUGAGCCUUGAUGUAAUCCUACAGUUAUGGGAAAGCUUUCGGUUUGUCCUUCAUGAGUUCUUACGGCAGUCUUUGCUCCUUCAUACAUAUCCUUUAUAGCUUGGAUAUAUGCUACUCGUACUCCUUUCUUCUCUAAAAUCCUCCAAAGAAUGUCUCUUGGGACCCUAUCAUACGCUUUUUCCAAAUCUAUAAAGACCAUGUGUAAAUCCUUUUUCCCAUCUCUAUAUCUUUCCAUCAAUCUUCGUAAGAGAUAGAUUGCCUCCAUGGUUGAGCGCCCUGGCAUGAACCCGAAUUGGUUGUCCGAAACCCGUGUCUCUUGCCUCAAUCUAUGCUCAAUGACUCUCUCCCAGAGCUUCAUUGUAUGACUCAUUAGCUUAAUACCCCUAUAGUUCAUGCAAUUUUGUACGUCGCCCUUAUUCUUGUAGAUAGGCACCAAAGUGCUCGUUCGCCACUCAUUUGGCAUCUUCUUCGUUUUCAAAAUCCUAUUGAAAAGGUCAGUGAGCCAUGUUAUACCUGUCUCUCCCAAAACUUUCCACACUUCGAUUGGUAUAUCGUCUGGGCCUAUUGCUUUUCUAUGCUUCAUCUUCUUCAAAGCUACAACCACUUCUUCCUUCCGGAUUCGACGAUAAAAGAGUAGUUUCUACACUCUUCUGAGUUACUCAACUCCCCUAAAGAAGCACUCCUUUCAUGUCCUUCAUUGAAAAGAUUAUGAAAAUAACCUCUCCAUCUGUCUUUAACCGCGUUCUCUGUAGCAAGAACCUUUCCAUCCUCAUCCUUGAUGCACCUCACUUGGUUUAGGUCCCUUGUCUUCUUUUCCCUUGCUCUAGCUAGUUUAUAGAUAUCCAACUCUCCUUCUUUGGUAUCUAGUCGUUUAUACAUAUCGUCGUAAGCCGCUAACUUAGCUUCUCUGACAGCUUUCUUCGCCUCUUGCUUCGCUUUUCUAUACCUUUCACCAUUUUCAUCGGUCCUCUCCUUGUAUAAGGCUUUACAACAUUCCUUCUUAGCCUUCACCUUUGUUUGUACCUCCUCAUUCCACCACCAAGAUUCCUUUUGGUGUGGGGCAAAGCCCUUGGACUCUCCUAAUACCUCUUUUGCUACUUUUCGGAUACAACUAGCCAUGGAAUCCCACAUUUGGCUAGCUUCCCCCUCUCUAUAUCCCACACACAUUGGGUGAUUACCUUCUCUUUGAAAAUGGCUUGUUUUUCUUCUUUUAGAUUCCACCAUCUAGUUCUUGGGCACUUCCAAGUCUUGUUCUUUUGUCUUACUCUUUUGAUAUGUACAUCCAUCACCAACAAGCGAUGUUGAUUAGCCACGCUCUCUCCUGGUAUAACUUUGCAAUCCUUACAAGUUAUACGAUCCCCUUUCCUCAUUAGAAGAAAAUCUAUUUGUGUUUUUGACGACCCACUCUUGUAGGUGAUCACAUGUUCUUCUCUCUUCUUAAAGAAGGUGUUGGCUAAGAAGAGAUCAUAUGCCAUUGCAAAAUCCAAGAUAGCUUCCCCAUCCUCGUUUCUCUCCCCAAAACCAUGGCCACCAUGAAAACCUCCAUAGUUGCCUGUCUCCCUGCCCACGUGUCCAUUUAAAUCUCCUCCUAUAAAUAACUUCUCCGUCUGAGCAAUUCCUUGCACCAAGUCUCCAAGAUCUUCCCAAAAUUUCUCCUUCGAACUCGUAUCCAACCCUACUUGAGGUGCGUACGCACUAAUCACAUUGAUAAGUUCUUGUCCUAUUACAAUCUUGAUUGCCAUGAUUCUAUCUCCUACCCUCUUGACAUCUACAACAUCUUGUACCAAGGUCUUGUCCACGAUGAUGCCAACACCGUUUCUCGUUCUAUUUGUGCCCGAAUACCAAAGUUUAAACCCUGAGUUUUCUAGAUCCUUUGCCUUACUACCAACCCACUUAGUUUCUUGUAGGCACAUAAUAUUUAUCCUUCUCCUCACCAUAACUUCCACUACUUCCAUAGAUUUUCCCGUUAAGGUUCCUAUAUUCCACGUUCCUAAACGCAUUUUGCUCUCUUGAACUCUACCCUUCUGUCCUAGCUUCUUCACCCUCCCCCGUCUAAUAGGAUCAAAGUACUUCUUUUGUGUGUCCCGGGUAAAGUUGAUAGGAGCAUAUGCUCCCAAACAACUUUGAGUGGAGUCGUUCGAAAAGAAGUUUCUAUGGCCCCCUUGCUCAUUUAACACUGCAUCCGGGUGCCGAUGGAGAUACAGCGACCCUUGCUCACUUAUCACUGUGCUCGGGCCACACAGCGCGCCACUUACGGGUGACGCCCUAGCUUUAGCGCGAUUUUGUUCUGGAUUCAUUUUCAUAAGGAUUCGACGUGAUCAUGGAGUGUCGGCUGUCGACUACCUGACGCCCUCCCCCUCCUCCUUUAUCCAGGCUUGGAAAGAAGUGAAGAAGCAGUACAACGAUGGAGAAAAUUUUUGGAAGAAGCUUGCUUAUGUUGGUAACCCAACAGCCACAGAAAGAAUUCUAUUUUAGAUUUGCAGAUUAUUUUGGAUUUUUUUAACUUUUAAAUGUUAAAUAAAAAGCUAACAGAGUUUGAGAUUAGGUUAAGUUAGAUGACAUGUGUCAAAAUAUUAGCAAUAAGACAUACACACAAAAGGGGACAGCAGACUUGAAACCUUCAUACAGGGAUACAAAGUAUUCCCAUCUAUAUCUCAAAUAAAAGAUGACAUAAAUCAAUAUGAUUUGGUUUGUUUACAGAUGGCGGAUUGGAUUGGGACAAGGUCUUUUGUUCAACAUUUUAUGUAUCGAGACUAGAAAUUGAGAGUUUUUAUCAUUUUUUUUUCAGACAUGUAAAUGGCGUCCAUUGAAAAUUGGUGAUUGUGGGGGCAAGUCAAACUUUAAGUGUGACUUGAUCACUCUGAAUCUCAAAAUUUAAAGUACCGAAACCUAUUUUCAUGUCCAUGCUAUUGAAUUAUCAGAGAGACGAGUCGAUGGCCCAACUCCAACAACAUUGAUAUUGUUCCCAACUUGGUAAUUACCACCUGCACAAUCCGUCAGGUGUAGAGUUUUAUCACAAAAGGUCUCGAUUUUAGUUGAAAUGGGAUUAGGAUAUUUAAACUCUUCUUUUCUCAUUGAUACGGUGGAUGUGAGGCAUUUUAACACGCAUUCUCACGUGGGACCCAAUUAGUGGGUCACACAUGGAAGAUCCACACAUCGACAACCACGUGAAGCGAAGGAGACUCACCCAACACAGGGGGCCAAGGGACCCACCAUCAUCGCAUAGGGUCAAGGGGACCCAUCCAUCACGUGGCAGUACAGUACGGGCCAUCUUCUUGGCUCUGAUACCAUGUUGAAUUAUUAGAGAGAUGGGCCGAGGACCCAACUCCAACAACAUCGAUAUUGUCCCCAACUUGGUAAUUACUACCUGCACAAUCCGUCAGGUGUGAGAUUUUAUCACAAAAAAAACAUCGGUUUUAGUUGGAGUGAGGUUAUGGUAUUUAAACUCUUAUUUUCUCAUUGAUAUGAUCGAUGUGAGACAUUUCAACACAUGAACUUUUAUGCUGAUGGUUACUUUGUAUCUAAGUAGGGAAUGUUUAUUUGAUUUGUCAUUUUACCUAUUGGUUAAACUUUGAUCACUUAUCUUGGACAGAUAAAUCUGAGUUAUUUACAAUUGCACCAUGGAGGUCACUUUAUAGAAGCCUGUAAUGGGACAAUGACUUGUGUUGGGAAAAUUUUUAGUUGUGACUGGAACACAGAUGGUGCAUCACGUGUUUUUAUGUAAAUGGUGAAAAUUUUUAAUUUUUAAAUUAUUAACUUUUUAACAGACAUAUUCAACCAUUUACAUGAAUAUAUAUGAUAUAUCGUCUUGUGUGAUGGUCACACUAAAAAAUCUCUCAUUGUGUUGGUGGUCAUGUUGCUUGGUUUGACAAUAUGAACUGUGAUUUAAUGUCCAGGUGGGAUAUUGAGGAUUGUGCGAAGAAAGUAGGGUCACUACUAGAAAAAGAGCUACAGGACACCGUUCUUUAUAUUCUAUUCCCAAAUCGUGCAUAUUUGAAGAAAGUUGUCACCGUGAAAAAACAUUGGUGCAUUUUACAUUUUUUUACACUGAAAAACGGUGCCCAACAGAUAUUUGACAAAUUUUUUUUGGAAAUUAUUAACUUUUACUGGUGUCUAUAUGGAUUAUGGAGCGUGCCCUGACAACUUUUAUAGUCGAGUAAAUUGUAGUAAUGAUCUAUUAACUUUAAUCAAAUUGAAGCAAUGAUCAUUCAACUAAAAAUCCAUUACUAUUGGUCUUUCAACUUAUCAAAAUGUGUAGCUGUAGUCAUUUUCAUCAAUUUUAUCAAAAUAAAUUAUGUUGAAAUAACCAUUUAUAUAAUUAUGGUCCCUCAACUCAUCCAAAUGUGUAAUUAUGAUCAUUUUCGUCAACUAUGUCAAAAUUUUUGGCAAAACGAGUUAUGUUGAAAUGAUCAUUGCUACAAUUGGGUUAGAGUUAAGGGACUAUUUCUUCAGUUGAAUUAAAGUUGAGGGACCAAUAGUAAUGAAUUUUUAGUAAAUGAACUAUAAUUGCAUAUUUUGAUGAAUUUUUAUAAUCAAACCGAUUUGAUAUUGUAUAGAAAAUUUGAAUACAAAAGAUGCUGUAGAUGUAAUUAUUGAUUCCAUACUGAUGAAACCAGGUCAUUGUAAAACGCUCUCUCUAAAUCCAAUCCAACCAUGUGGCUGUGAGUUUCUCAAUUUUUUUAUUAUUAUCAAAGUAUGGACUGGAGCACAAAAGUAAAGUAAUAAACAAUAUUUCACCUCCACUCCUUUUCAUAUCAGUUUCCGGAUUCCUCUUCUCCUAAAAGCUUCUACAGUUUUUCUCCCAACACCUCAAGCGGUUGCAUGGCGUCCUCUAGAUCAGCAGCCUCUCAUCCGCAUGUCGUCAACAAUAUGCAUGUAGUCCUCUGUGUUUUUGUCGCCCUCUGAGUUUUAAAGUUGUUGGGAUGUGAAAGGCUGAGUCCACGAGAGAUUUGUUUACUGGGUUCGUAAGUUGUUUGAUGGGAGUUUGAUUGACUCUUAAACCUGGUAAAAAGUUUCCUUGCUUCUCUCUGUCUCUUCUCUUGCUUUAUAUUUUUUUAUUUUUUUAUUUUUUUUAUUUCUAAUUUUUAUUUUUGGUUGAAGUUUAAAACUUAGGCAAAAGACUGUUUACUACCCUCAUAUUUCGUGGUUUUCAACAUUUAGUAUAUCAAGUUUUUUUCGUCCCAGAGUCAUACCUAAAGUGUAAAUUUUGGGACAGUCUCAUACAUCUGUUAGUCAAACUGUUAAGUUUUCCGUUAACUGAUGACGUGGCGCCCAUGUGGACAAUGACUGGAUGCCACGUGUCAAUAAGGGUCCCACGUGGAUUUAAAAAUUACAAAAAAUUACAAAAUUGCAAAAAAAAAUAAAUAAAAAAAAAGCUGUUGUUGUCUACGCCCACCAAACCCUCUAUACUCGACCCAUCUCCCUCUCCUCCACCCUUUGCAAAAACCCUAACUCCCAAAAUCUUUUGAGUUUUCAAAAAAAUUGAGCAAACCGAGCAUGAAAUCCCUAAUCCCCAAAAUCUUUCCGACCCGUUUGAAUUUGACUUCAAUUUCAUCAAACACAUAAUGAAAACACAAAAAGACUUCGAUUUCGUCAUACCAAAAAACUGAUCAGUCAGGACUCGGACAUUCAUUUUCGUUUUGUUCCCCCCAAAUUUUCUCAACAACCAAACAGUCCAUUUCAAAUUAUAAACAACAAAAGCAGCAGAAUCACAAAGAUCAAUACACAAAAUUUGAAAUUUCUUAGCUAAUCCGUAACUCUGUUUGCGGGAAACAAAGCAGCUCUAAAUCACUCGCCUUUGAGUUCGAAAUGCAUACCUCGAUUUCUUAGAGAUAACGACGCUUUCUCAAACGUCGUCUAUGAGAAGGCCAUCCCGGCAAUGAUCAACGAAAAUCGGGAAAUGCAGUGAAAUUGGAAGCUGAAAGGACACCGUGACCUAGUUGGUGGCCAGACGACGGCAGAUAUGAUGAAAUUGCGGCAGAGAAAAUGGCUUUUAGGGUUUUAGAGAGGCAGUGAGUGAGGUGAAGAAUCUGGAAUUUUAGAGAGAGAGAGAGAGGAGAAGGGGGUCUCUACAGCUUGAAAAUGGCCUCAGCAAAGGCGUAGCGUUGGUGAAUCGCCUCGUCGAGGAAGCCACAGCGCUCCCGGCAUAAGGCGACGGCCAGAAGAUCGUCGAGCUUGGAGCUCGUCCAGCCCAUUGGGUUGGGUAUGGAGGGACUAUGAGAGGGAUGGGUCGGGUUGGGAGGUGGUGGUGAGGGAAGAACGAGUGCGAGUGGGGAGAGGGACGGAGGGGGGAGACCAAGUCGCUCGGGGUGGGGAAGACAAAAGGGAUCUGGAGAAGGAUGGAUAUGCAGAUGUGCAUAAGGAUUUAGGGAUUUGGGUAGUGAGAGCGGAGAGUGAGAGCGAAUGUGCAGAGGUACGUGUCACAGCAAAUCGCUCGGGGUGGGGAAGACAAAGGGGAUCUGGAGAAGGAUGGAUGUACAGAGGUGCAGAGGGAUAUGGGGAUUUGGGGAAUGAGAGAGAGCGGAGAGUGAGGGUGAGAGCGGAUGUGCAGAGGUGCAUAAGGAGAAGGGAAGCGGAUCGGGGUGGGGAAGACAAAGGGAAUCUGGGGAUUUUUUUUUUAUUUUUUUUAUUUUUAUACUUUUAUUUAAUUAAAAUUUUAAUUGUUUAUUUAUUUAUUUAUUUAUUUUUAAAUUUCCACGUGGAUGACCCGUGGCGCCCAGUCAUUGUCCACAUGAGCGUCACGUCAUCACUUAACGGGAGAUUUAACAGUUUGACUAACGGAUGUAUGAGACUGUCUCAAAAUUUAAACUUUAGGUAUGACUCUGAGACGAAAAAAACUUCAUGUACUAAAUGUUGAAAACCACGAAAUAUGAGAGUAGUAAACAAUCUUUUACCCUUAAAACUUUCUUUUAAAAGACUCAUUUUCUCUAAAAAGUAAUAAUAAAAAGGGAUAUCAAAUGAAAGGCUCUGGUAGUCUUGAAAUACGUGUAUUGUAGUUUCUCUAUGUAUAUAAAACAAGAACAAUUGAUAAUCUGUAUCUUUGGAAACCAACCAUAAUUCUCAGUUCCCCUCCUCUCUCAGAGUGCUCUCUCCCUCUCGUCAUCACGAGUAAGGCUAGAUCUAAUGAUCUGAUUUCAACGACGCCUCUGGCUACCAGAUCUGGUACUGGCAACCAUUUUUGCUUGGAUCUCGCUCUCUCUCCCUCUCGAGCUAAGCAGACGCACCUCCAUGGAAGAAGAUGGAUGCUCGACGUCAAAAUGAUGGAUGUAAGUUGACUGUAGAGAUCUGAUUUCCUGCUGCCUCUCCACCUCGUUUUCAUCAUGAUGUGCCCUAAACCUAAUCUGGUAGGUAUUUAUUUGGGUAUUUUUUUUAUCUCGGUUUCUUUUUCUAAUUCAUUUUCAGAUCGUUGGAAUGUAUGUAUAUCAAGUUCUAUUUAUAUUCUCUCUUUUUAAAUCAUUUUCAGAUAUUCGGGAUUGUUUGAGAAGACCUAUGAGAAUCCCACUUACAAAAUUUUGUGAGCAACAAACUUAAGUGUUGAAACAUUGUUUGUAUUUUCUAUUUUUCGUCAAAGUUAUUAUUUUUUAUUUUCUGUUUUUGUAUGCUUAAUGUUGACUCUUUUGGUGGUAUUGUUAUGAAGGUGAAUCUGGAAAAAUAUGUUCAUUCUAGAAUCGUUACUCGAGUUCUUGGAUGGAUGGGAAGGUUGUGGAACUCUCCUAGGUUUAAAUGAUUAAUUUUCAUCCAAAGCAUGUGGUAUUAAUCGUGGACUUCGUCAAUGGGAGCUCAGCGGGCUCCCUCUUUUUACAUACAUAAAUUGCAAUUUGGACACUGAUGCUAAAAGGCAUAUUUUAUGUGAAAAAAUAUUUAAUCUAUUAAUAAACAAAUAAACCAAAAUAUAAUAAUGUCAUAUAUCUACUAUUCCUUUGCCCACCAAUGUAUAAAUGGUGGUGUUUGUUACAAUAGAGACUUCUGUAGAGGACAUGGACCCUAAUUUAGUGGCUGCAUGAUGGCUGUUUAUGCUUGCCACCGAAUUCAGUGUCCAAUGUUUCCAAUUGGCACCAAUAAGAUAGUGUUCUAUAGCUAUUUUCUAAAAAAAAACUAAUGAAAAAGGCUUGAAAACUUUAAGUUUUAACGAUAAGGAUAAAAUAAAGGGUAAAAUGAAUAGUAUCAGAAUUGACUUUUUAGUGUAAAAAUAUAAUUUUUCGUUAAAGUGAACACUACCAUGAGUUUUUUAUUAAAACUCCUAUUUUUCUAGUAGUGGGUAUACUAAGACUGCUAAGUACCAUUACACAUUGUCAAAUGACAGAACUUACAAGCCCAUUGUUGCUGAUAGUGAUUUUUGGAGUCUAGCUACUGUAUUGCCCCUAAAUAGAGUGGUACUUGUGUACACCGUUGAUGAUGUCCAACUGAUCAAUUCAGCCCCAAACAUUGAAAUUCAAGCUUCAGCAAACUCUUUUGACAUUCCUUACAUGUCAGCCCCAAACAUUGAAAUUCAAGCUUCAACAAACUCUUUUGACAUUCCUCACGUCUGAUCCUUUUGGCAUAUUUGAGGGAUUUUUGGAGCAAGCUUAUGAAGGAGAUCGGGAACAAGACAACCUUGUUGAGGCAGGUAUACAUAACAUGGAAAAUGAAGAGAGAGAUGGCGAUGGCAAUUCGGAAGAUUCAAAUUAGUGAGACUCAGACUAUGAACAAAGUGAUGUCGAUGACAACUUAUUUGACGACAAUUUAGAGAAAACUAAAGGGAAAAAUACCAAUGGAAAAUGCAAUGGAAAUAGGAAAGCAUCACGUAAUACUGAACCCUUUCCUGAUUUAGGAUUUGGAGAUGUUGAAACAAACUACGAAGAUUCUGAUGGCUUUAGAAGUGGUUCUAGUUCAUCAUCUGAAGGUGAACAACCAGUGAAGCGGAAACGUAGGAAGAAAAUGCCCAAAUUCAUUCCUUUUAGAAGUGAUUUGGAUAUGAAGAACUGGAAUGAUAUUUGCCAAUAGAAGGGGGCUCAGACAAGCAGUGACAUAUUAUGGUUGUGUGAAUGGAAGACAAAUAAGAUUCCCAAUAAGAGAAGGUUAUAAAGUUCAGGGUAAGUGUACAAAGGAGGGAUGUCCAUGGGUGAUUUAUGCAAGCAAAACAGAUGGGAGCCCUGCACUUAUAGUGAAGACACUCAAUGACGUCCAUACAUGUCCGAGAGAGCAAAAGCUCAGAGUAUGCACCUCAAAUUGGUUAUCACAUAGGUAUGCUGACUAUUUGCUUGACAAUCCUAAGUGGGAAGUGUCAAAAUUUCAACAAACUGUUCAUAAACAAUACAAUAUGCAUGUAACACCGGCUCAACUUUAUAAAGCACGAUCAUUGGCAGCUGAGAAGAGUGAAGGGGGCUUAUGUGGAGCAAUAUGCAAGGUUAUGGGAUUAUUGUGAGGAGCUCAAGCGAAGAAAUCCUGGCAGUACAAUUUUGGUGAAGACUGAAAUGGAAGGAGGAAGGCCUAGGUUUCAGAGGUUGUAUGUAUGCUUUGCAGCAUUGAAAAAAGGCUUUUUGGAAGGUUGUAGGCCAGUGGUGGGAUUGGAUGGAUGCCACAUUAAAGGUCCACAUCCAGGCCAGUUGCUUGCUGCCAUUGGUAUAGAUGCCAACAAUGGCAUGUAUCCAGUAGCAUAUGCGAUUGUUGAAAUUGAAGAUAGAAGAACUUGGACUUGGUUUCUCGAGCUACUCAUCACUGAUUUGGGUAUUGAAAAUGGGCAUGCUUGGGUCUUUACGUCAGACAAACAAAAGGGGUUAAUAAAAGCUGUGAAGGACCUUAUUCCAACUGCUGAACACAUACAUUGUGUUCGACACUUAUAUAACAAUUUCAAGAAAACACACGUUGGCAUUGCAUUGAAACAAAUUCUUUGGUCAGCAGCUAGAGCAACCACCAUUCCAGGAUUUAAAGCAGAGAUGACUAAGAUGGAAGUUGAAGACGGAUUGGCUAUAAGUUGGUUUGAUGACAAACCAGCAUGUCAUUGAAGCAGAUCUUAUUCUAGGACAUCAUCUAAGUGUGAUAUCUUGUUGAAUAUUCUAUGUGAGUCUUUUAGUAGUGCAAUAUUGAGAGCAAGAGAUAAACCAAUAUUAACUAUGGUGGAAAGGAUUACAACAUAUCUGAUGGUCAGAAUGGCAAGAAUGAGAGAAGCAGCGGAUAAGUGGAAAACUGAGGUUGGCCCUAGAAUAUUUAAAAUGGUUGAAAAAAAUAAAUUAGAAAGUGGUUCAUGUAUUGCUUGGUUGUCAGGUGAUAUGGAGUAUCAAGUGAAGCAUAUGAGUGGAGCACAAUAUGUGGUUGAUUUAGCGAAACACACAUGUACAUGUAGAAGGUGGGAUCUCACUGGAAUUCCUUGUGCUCAUGGAAUUGCUGUAAUCUAUAGAAAGGAGGACGAUCCAUACAAGUAUGUUCAUUCUUGUUACAAGAAAGCAGCAUACUUGAGAGCCUACACUUAUAUCCAUGCCAUGCUUAGUCAAGAAUUUUGGCCACCUACAAAUCACCAACCCGUUGCAUCUCCAAAGUAUCAUAAGCAAGCUGGUAGGCCAAAGAAGGUGAGGGCAAGAGAGCAAGAUGAACCACAACCACCAUCAACCUUAAAAAAAUUGCCUAAAUGCUUCAGCAAGGUCACUUGUGGAAUGUGUGGCAAGAAAGGUCAUAAUCGUACAACAUGCGGGAAGAGGCAACGACAAGCUUCACAGGUAAAAAUAGCUUAAUGGUUUCACUUAUCUGCAUUUUUAGUCACAUAUGGUUGUUAUAAAUUGGGGAAUAUCAUCUCUUAGGCCUAUGGAGAAGCUGGGAGAGGACAAACUUGUGGGACAAAUGAAAUUGGCCAUAACUCACCAACUACUGAAAGUGGGCAAACACAAGCAAUGGUGUGCGUACUGAAAACUUCGGUAUUUUAAGGUUUUGUCUUGUAUUUAUUGACUGAUGUAUGUGUAACUCUUUUAUUGAUCAUUUUGUAGCAUGCCACUGGAGGAAAUACGGGAAGUGAAACUCCACCAAAUCAGGGACAAGAAAAAUCUGCACCUAAUGCAAGUUCUUUUGACCUAUGUCUUUGUCCCUUUCUCGUCAGGUUUUUUUUUACUUUUUUAUUGUUUGUAGGUUUCUAAAAGGGGUAGAGUGAAAAAAAAAUGCAAGAGGUAAGUCAAUGCACAAGUCAAGAAAACCACCUAAAAACCGUAGAAUCUGAAGAAAUCAUUUGAAACUUUAGACUUUUUGUUAAUAUUGUCAAUAUCCUCUUGGACUCGAUGGUACUGAGCACUGUGAUCAUGAUACUCACUAGAUCGAAGUGCAUGUUUAAUAAUGGAAUCACCAAAUGGAAAAGCAAAAUCAUAAGUUGGGUACAAGUUGUACUCGGACACAAUUCGAUGAUGUGGUGUAGAUUGUAGGGGUAAUAAAUAGGAUCUUGAAGAGAUUUUUUUUGGAUACUGCAUAUCCAGAGUUCUCCUCAAUGAAUGAUUAUGAUUUAGGUCACAAUUGACCUCGAAUGCCCAUUUUCUUCUCAAGAAUUUGAAAACGAAUUUGUGAGCUUAAUCAACAUCUAAUUGUGGACUAUCUCACCUAGAUAUAUCUACAAGAUGGUCAUAAUAUUAUUUGCUUGUUAUUACAAGCUCAAUUUCCCAAUUGUAGGCUAUUUCAGACCACUGGGAAUUACUUUUAAGCACACAAUUUUUCAUGGCUUAGCACAAGGUUAAGCAUUCUAUUCAUUGCUAAUUUUUGGUUAGGAGAAUCAUCUUGAUCCACAGGCAUGUAUCAUCAUGAUCAUUUCGGUUGACGUUUAUUUUUCAACCAACAAGAAAUUGUGUACACAAAGAUGGUUCAAUCCAUGAAAAUUGAGAUUCAAGUUUAUCUUUCUAAAUAGCAACUAAAAUACCUCUUUGUAAUUGCAAUAUACAAUUUAGUUUUACAAAAAACAUCCAAAAGAGUUUCAAGUCAUGCGGAUGAACAUUUUAUGCAAAUAUAUUGCAUGGGCUUGAUCCUUUUUACUUCAUCACUAGUCAUUCCCUCGCAUUCAGCAUGGAAACUUUAUGAGCAAUUCAUAUGAUGUAAUAAGUAAAGAUGGAAUUGAACAAUAACAACUUGAAAGAAAAGAAUUUGAAGACUUUACCACUCCUUGCAUGCCUCACAGCACACCAUGAGAUUAUCUGGGUUAUACGGUAUCUGACAAGUGCAAUACCUUAAAAAAUAAUUAAACAAAUAAACAGCACAUCAAAUUUCAUCUAUAAACACCACAUAUCAACUAAAACGUAAGAUAAAAGAGACUCACAGAGGAAUAAGAAAAUUGUCGAACCCUUUCCUAGAAUGCAAGACCUAAAUCUCUAAUAGUAAUCCUCAUAUGUUACCAUUUGGAGUUUUACGUACUCAUCAAGAGUGUGGACAUUACACUUUCCGAGAAUGGUAUCAAUGCUCAUAGUAUCACGAUGAUUAAACCAUAUGAGCUCAUCCUUUCCAAAGAAAGGAGGACGCUUUUCAAGGGCAUCAUCUGACCUAUAGAACCACCUCACCAUCACUUUCUUUUUAUUGUGACUAAAACGCAGGAUGGCCGCCACCCAUGGCUGAUCGUUCACUAUUGCACCAUCAUGAUUAAUCAUGACUUAAUCCCCAACGGAGAAAGUCUCAUUGGUAGUUGUAAUGCAACAAGUGGCCAUCCCUUCCAAAUAACUGGCAAUCAUAUAAAAGAGAUCCAACAAGAAGUGAUCAGCUUAACCCCAGUGUCCCUCCCAACUCUAAUGUCAAUCACAUAAAAGAGAUCCGUCUACUAUAUGACCUCAACUAUAACAAAAGAGCUCAAUCUUAUAACAAAAGAAUAAACAAAACAUAAAUCUUAUAACAAAAGAUUAAAAAAACAUAGCUAUUAGUGCUUUUAGUGAGGGUGAAAUAAUCUGGACAAUAGAAUUCAAACUACACCAUUACAUAAUUGAUCUACAUUCUAAUCACUAGCAGCAAAUGAAACCUUAAUUUUAAUUCAAAAUUGAAACCCUAAUAGCUCAAAAUUUCGAACUAUUACAUAAUUGAUAACUAGUUUUAAAUCAAAAUCACUAGCAGUAAACGAAACCCAAAUCGAAAUCAAGGUGAAAUUUCUUACCACGUGCAGUGCAAUCGUUGGAGGUGAAAGACAUAUAGAAUUCGAGAGGAGAAAGAGACUCAGAAACGAGUCGAGAGAGAGCCGGUGUGUGGUGAUUCUGAAUUUGAAUUAUAUUAGCCGUUGAAUUUAAAUUUGGACCGCCAAAUUUUUUACUGUUGGAUUUAAUCAUCUUAGCUGUUGAAUUUAAACACUUUAUAAAAGAAUAUGAAACGUAUUGAAAAAAAUUCUUUUAAUUAUUUCACUCGUUGAACUCCCGAGUCUCAACUCCAUCCCUUAAGACUCUCUGGAUUCCAAGUCUCCUACUACCAGGCACCACCACCAUCUCCUCUCAAGUCUCAACUCCCACAUCUCUUCUAUCUCCCGACUCCAACCACCACCAUCAUCUCCUCUCAACUGAAGUCGAUAGCUCGAUCCCUCCCACCACUGAGUAAGGUACUCAGUUUUAAUUUUUAGGGAUUUAAGAUUUAGUGUUUUCUAGAUUUUGGGGUCUUGAUCUAAUAAUUUCUAGUUGUCUGAUAACGGAAUCAACUGCUUAGUCUUAUAAUUUUGAAGCUUUGCUUUGAUAUUUUGAUUAAAUUGAAAUUUGAAUUAUGAGAAUAUUAGAAACUUACAUAUCUAUGUAAUGAAGAAAAAGAAAAUUAGAAACUUACAUGAAUUGAUCAAAAUAAUUACACCAACAAAAUAUCCAUUCAGUCAAAAUUUUGCACCAUUACAGAAUUGAUCUAAAUUCUAAUAACUAGCAGCAAACAAAACUUUAAUUUUAACUCAAAAUCGAAACCAUAAUAAAAUAGGAAAGUUAGCUAAAAAUUUCGCACCAUUACAAAAUUGAUUACAUUUUUUAUUCAGAAUAGAUUACAUUUUUUUUUUCCUUUUCAAAACAGGUUAUUUUCACAUAUCCUUUGUAAUCCAAACACAACACUAGCUCAAUUCAAUUUCAGAUCAAAACGACCCUGACUGUACUAUUAUUAUCAAAAUCCACAACCAUAUCAAUCACAAAAUGGAAGCUUGAAUGAGAUAAAAAAAUAUUUAAAAACUUAUCACUUUUAUCUUAUUGAAUAUGGCUUCCAGGGAGAAAAAAGGGAAAAAUUGAUGGCGAAAUCUCUUUUCUACAUGAACAACAAAAACCCAGCACAAUGACACCAAAUACAAUCUAAUCCAAUUCAAUCAAACCAAUCUCAAUUCUCAUAUUCGACUUUAAUCUCAAUUCAAUCUCAUAAUUCCAAAUACAAUCUGCUUUGCUCAAUUCAGUUUCAAAACAAACGACCCGGACUGUACUAUUAUUAUCAAAAUCCACAAGCAUAUCAAUAAGAAAUGGAAGCUUGAAUGAGAGAAAAAAAAUAUGUAAAAACUGACCACCUUUAUCUUAUUGAAUAUGGCUUACAAGGAAAAAAGGGAAAAACUGAUGGCGAAAUCUUUUAUCAACAUGAACAACAAAAACCCAGCACAAUGACACCAAAUACAAUCUAAUCUCAAUUCAAUCAAACCAAACUCAAUUCUCAUAUUCCAAUCUAAUCUCAUUUUAAUCUCAUAAUUCCAAACACAAUAUGCUUAUAAGAAUGACCCCAACACUUGCCCACCGAUCACCAACACCCCAAAUCUAAAUAUUCUCAUAAUUCUAAUUCCAAUUCAAUCAAAUACCAAAGCAAAGCUUCAAAAUUAUAAGACUAAGCAGUCGAUUCCAUCAUCAGACAACUAGGAAUUAUUAGGUCAAGACCCCAAAAUCCCAAAAUCUAGAAAACACUAAAUCUUAAAUCCUUCGCCCAUGAGCGGUAGGUCUUGGGUUCGAGACUUGGGAGCAGCCUCUCCAUAAAUGGGGGUAAGGCUAGCCGACAUUCACCUCUCCCAGACCCUGCGUAAAGCGGGAGCUUAUGCACUGGGUACGACCUUACUUAGUGGUGGGAGGGAUCGAGCUAUCGACUUCAGUUGAGAGGAGAUGAUGGUUGGUGGUGGUCAGAGUCAGGAGAGAGAAGAGAUGUGGGGAGUUGAGACUUGAGAGGAGAUGGUGGUGGUGCCUGGUAGUCGAAGACUCGGAAUCCAGAGAGUAUGGGGGAUGGAGUUAAGACUCGGAGUCCAACGGGUAAAAUAAUUAAAAGAAAUUAUUUCAAUGUGUUUCAUAUUCUUUUAUAUAGUGUUCAAAUUUAAAUUCAACGACUAAGAUGAUUAAAUCCAACAGUUAAAAACAAAAUUGACGGUCCAAAUUUAAAUUCAACGGCUAAUAUAAUUCAAAUUCAGAAUCACCGGCUCUCUCUUUCUCUCUCGACUCCUUUCUGACUGUCAAGUCUCUGUCUCCUCUCGAAUUCUGUCUUUCACCUCCAACGGCUGCACUGCACAUGGUAAGAUAUUUCACCUUGAUUUUAAUUUGGGUUUCGUUUGCUGCUCGUGUUUCUGAUUUUGAUUUAAAAUUAGUUAUCAAUUCUAUAAUAGUUCAAAAUUUUGAGCUAUUAGGGUUUCGAUUUUGAAUUAAAAUUAAGGUUUCGUUUGCUGCUAGUGAUUAGAAUGUAGAUCAAUUCUGUAAUGGUGUAGUUUGAAGUCUAUUGCCCAGAUUAGCUCACCCUCACUAAAAGCACUAAUAGCUAUGUUUUUUUAAUCUUUUGUUAUAAGAUUUAUAUUUUUUUUUAUUCUUUUGUUUUAAGAUUGGGCUUUUUUGUUAUAGUUGAGGUCAUAUAGUUGACGGAUCUAUUUUAUGUGAUUGACAAUAGAAUUGGGAGGGACACUUGGGUUAAGUUGAUCACUGCUUGUUGGAUCUCUUUUAUAUGAUUGCAUGUUAUUUGGAGAGGAUGACCACUUGUUGCAUUACAACUACCAAUGAGACUUUCUCCAUUGGGGAUUGUGUCCUGAUUAAUCAUGAUAGUGCAAUAGUGAACGAUCAGCCAUGGAUGACGGUCAUCCCGUGUUUCAGUCAUAAUAAAAAGAAAGCGAUGGUGAGAUGGUUCUAUAGGUCAGAGGAUGCCCUUGAAAAGCAUCCUCCUUUCUUUGGAAAUGAUGAGCUCAUAUGGUCUAAUCAUCGUGAUCAUGUGAGCAUUGAUAACAUUCUCGGAAAGUGUAAUGUCCACACUCUUGAUGAGUACGUAAAACUCCAAACGGUAACAUAUGAGGAUUACUAUUGGAGAUUUAGGUACUUGCCUUCCAGGAAAGGGUUCGACAAUUUUCUUAUUCCUCUAUGAGUCUCUUUUAUCUUACGUUUUAGUUGAUAUGUGGUGUUUAUGGAUGAAAUUUGAUGUGCUGUUUAUUUGUUUAAUUAUUUUUUAAGGUAUUGCACUUGUCAGAUGCCGUAUAACCCAGAUAAUCUCAUGGUGUGGUGUGAGGCAUGCAAGGAGUGGUAAAGUCUUCAAAUUCUUUUCUUUCAAGUUGUUAUUGAUCAAUUCCGUCUACUUAUUACAUCAUAUGAAUUGCUCAUAAAGUUAUUUUCCUCUUUGACUUAAAGGUAACAUGCUGAGUGCGAGGGAAUGACUAGUUAUGAAGUAGAAAGGAUCAAGCCCUAGCAAUAUAUUUGCAUAAAAUGUUCAUCUGCAUGACUUGGAACUCUUUUAGAUUUUUUUUUAAAACUAAAUUGUAUUUGCAAUUACAAAGAGGUAUUUUAGUUGCUAUUUACUUUUGGAUGUGUAGAACUAAAGAAAGAUAAACUUGAAUCUCAAUUUUCAUGGAUUGAACCAUUUUUGUGUAUACAAUUUCUUGUUGGUUGAAAAAUAAACGUCAACCGAAAUGAUCAUGAUGAUGCAUGUGGAUCAAGAUGCUUCUCCCAAGCAAAAUAAGCAAUGAAUAGAAUGCUUAAACCUUGUGCUAAGCCAUGAAAAAUUGUGUGCUCAAAAGUAAUCCCAGUGGCCUGAAAUAGCCUACAAUUGGGAAAUUGAGCUUGUAAUAACAAGCAAAUAAUAUUAUGACCAUCUUGUAGAUAUAUCUAGGUUAGAUAGUCCACAAUUAGAUGUUGAUUAAGCUCACAAGUACAUUUUCAAAUUCUCAAGAAGAAAAUGGGGAUCUGAGGUCCAGACCUAAAUCAUAAUCAUUCAUUGAGAAGAACUCUGGAUAUGCAAGAUCCAAAAAAAUCUCUUCGAAAUCUUGUUUAUUACCCCUACAAUCUACACGACAUCAUUGAAUUGGGUCCGAGUACAACUUGUACCCAACUUAUGAUUUUGUUUUUCCAUUUGUUGAUUCCAUUAUUAAACAUGCACUUCGAUCUAGUGAGUAUCAUGAUCGCAAUGCUCAUAUUUGUGCUAUUUUGAUUACCUUAUCUCGCUAUCACUUGAUUCAUUAGUUCUAAAGGAAGUUCUAAUCACUACGAAAACAGCUUAAUAACAGUUGAUUAUCCCUAAAACAAAGAGGGCAAACAUAGAAAUAGUGUUUGUACUCAAAAUCCCAAUUGUGUAACACAUGGUUGUAAUCUACCCUGAUCUCAAAAUUUAAAAUUCGACACAAAAAUGAAAUUUGGAAUGAUUAGCAGGGAAAUAAGAGAGAAGCGUGAGCGAAUAUACCCAUGAGGCCUUCGGAUCCGAGUUCGGAGCUUGAAGGGCAGAGGUUGCAAACCCAGAGCAUGGAAGAAGCGGGAAGGAUUUUCCUCUGUGCUGCCUCGUGUCUUCUACUAUUUAUCCAAGCAUUGACUGUUCAAAUAUUGGGUAGUGGGUAAUCUUAAAACUGAUAUAAUCAUAUAGAAAUAACUUUGUUCAAUCUUUCAGGAUCUUAACAACAUGUCUUUCAACAAUAUUUGUGAUGUUGAUUUUGAAUCAUGUCUCUAUUUUAGAUUGAGAGAGAGAGCAUGAUUUAAGCGGGAACUAUCUCAGAUUCUCAGGCAAUUUUCCUAUCUAGCAAAUGGUUAAGACAGAAAAAUGAACCUUCGAUAUAGAAAACAUCGUAAGCUUACAAAAGCCACCAAAUCAAAGUUAUGCUUUUUUAUGUGCUUGUUUGCAACAUGGCAUAUUUAUUGCUUUCCAGGGUAUAAAUGGCUAUCAUGCAAAAUGAAAAAGAAGUUAAAGACUUCCAACAAUGGAGAGCAUACCACCAUCAUAUGUGAUCCAGGGCAACACCAUAAAAGCAUGCUAGAAUUAGAGAGAUGAGACUGGUGGCUAGUGGCAUAUUUUAAUUAGCAAAACCUCCAAGAUAAGUCGACCUCUCUGAUCAUAUGGGAAUUUGCAAAGAAAUGGAUUUCCCGUAGAUAUCUUUUGCAUCAUCAUAGUCAUUAUAAAAAAGGUAAACAUGAUGACAUGUUUCAGGACAGCAUACAUAACACAUGCAUAAACACCCCAAUUGCAAACUCUACAAUGAAAGGGACCAAAAUAAAAUAAAAACUUCCGUUAAACUAAAACAAUUACAAAAUCCAAAAUUCAAUUCUUUUUUUUUUUUUGCAAACUCUUCAAUGAAAUGGACCAAAAUAAAAUAAAAACUUUAGUUAAACUAAAACAAUUACAAAAUGCAAAAUUCAAUUCUUUCUUUUUUCUUGUGUCAAAAUUAAAUUAUUGUAACCUUCAUAAAUGCAUCAAUUUAUGGAUCCGGCCUUAUAUUCCUUUCCCUCUCUAACCGUACCAAAUCAUUCAUGUAUGCUACAGCAUAAAACAAUUGACAAAAACAGGGGAAGGAUAUCAACAGUGCUCGAUUGAGUACAUGAAAUAAUUGCUGGAAUUAAGAAUAUAUACGCAUUGAAAGUAACGAAAUUGCAAUUAACAAGAACACACCUACAUAGGCUUCACUUGCAUCUUGACAUCUAGCUGUAAAAUCCAAUGUUUCUCUUACGGUCAGCUCUGGAAAAUGAUUAUCUGUUCGGUGGAUUUAUGCCCCAAAAUUCAAACACCAGAGUUUCCUAAAAGCAAAAAAGACUGAAAUCAGACAAUCACACGUAGCAUCCGAGCACACAUACAAAACCCUCCAAAAUUACAACAUAAAAGCAAUUGUAGGCUCAUUGGAAAAGUGUAUAUAUAUAUAUAUAUAUAUAUAUAUAUAUAUUUUUUUUUUUUUUGUGGAAAUGCUAAUAGAUUCAUUUUCCAAUCCUCAAAUCUAUUUCCCCACAAAACCAAAAAAAAAAAAAAAUGUUAGUUUGCACCCCUCCGAAGCAAAGGGAAUGAAAGAAAGGAAGAGCAAAAUAAAAGACAAGGGGGAGUCUAAACUUGGACACCAAGCAUAAUAAGUACAACUACUGCUAAAACCAUUUGUCAGAUGAUAUGAAAUAUGAAUCAUGAACAUACACGCAAUAAAGUUUCCCUUAUGGAAUCCUCAAAUAAUCUGGUACAGACUGGAUCACCUAGAGAUUAAGAAAUAAUAGUCCUACUAGUAUAGAAGCAUGCAAAAGAAGCUCUAGGAAUUAGAAAAACAUCGUCCUCCAUACCUGAUGAAAUAUCUCAGGCUGCGAGGUGUAACCAUUUGCAGUUCAUUUAUCUGCAUCCCACACCAUGCAGCUUCACUAAUGACCAACGAAUUCAUACUGCAGUGCAUAGAGAAAAAUGCAACUGCACAUAAACUCUUAACUACAUUGAAAGUCAUGAUACCAAAGCAAUGAUGAAACUUCUUCACAUGAUAUCAUUUUGAACCAUACCAAAGCAUGUCAAUUCUAUGUGAUUUUGUUAAGAGUAAAUGUUCAUUUUCUAUGUUGUAUAUAUCCAUGUACCAACUUCAGAUCUACUAACUUUGAGAGAAAGAGAAACAAUUACAACAUUUUUCUAUGCAUGACGAUAAUAAAUAUGACUCAUAAAUAAUUUUGACCUUAAACAAAAGAAAAUGCUUAGGAAAAUUAAAUUUAACAGAGGUCCAUACCUGUAGCAGGGAAAAGAAUGGAUGUAUCCCUUCUUUUUUUCUUUUUUGGUCUGAAUGUAUCCCUUCCCUUUAAAGGUUGCACUGCCCAAGAAGUAAACUCGUCAUAAAUUAAUCAAAAAAAUGAAAGUAAAUUAUGCAUCACGAUGUAGUCAAUUUGGAUUUUAGAGGAUUUUAAUGGAUUUUUUUAAGUGACAAAUUUAAAAAGAUUUUAAUAGAUUUACAAUUCUAUGUAGAUUUUGGCAGAUUUAUAUGGAUUUCUAUUAUAGAUAUUUAUGGAUUUGAAUGGAUUUCUUAGGAUUUUAGUUGACUCCUACAACAUAAAAUAAAUAUUUUUUUUAGUACACAAUCUGAAAAGAACAUAAAUUGAAAGGAACAUAAACAUAUAUCUAUUGAUAUAGAAAUACAAACCAAUCAAAUAUGUAAAUAGAAUGGGGUAUUGAGAAUAUUGAUCCAAGAGUUUGAAUAAUUGUUAAGGAUAGCAUCUGCUUUAGAACAUCAUAGCCAUUCAAGAAUGAUGAUUUCAAGUUCAAGAACAGGAUAUCCAAUCAUGAAUAAUAAUAAUAUAUGUGAAAGAAUACCAAAUGAAAAUCGAAAUUGAGUAGGACAUAUUUGGGCAGCAAAAUCCUGGGAUAAAAAACAUUUUAACCAUGACCAAAAAAAAAAAACAUUUGAAGCCAAAAACAUGGACACUAAUUUGCAGAAAAAAGGCUUAAAUCAAAUGGGAAAAGCCAAACUUAGAAAAAUCAAAAGUGCAGAUGAGAGAAUCUCAAUUCAGAAAAGCACGAGUAUAAAGCAAAACAAUAUACAACUAUAAUCCAACAACAACAACAACAACAACAACAACAAAGCCUUUUCCCACUAAGUGGGGUCGGCUAUGAAUCCUAGAACGCCAUUGCGCUCGGUUUUGUGUCAUGUCCUCCGUUAGAUCCAAGUACUCUAAGUCUUUUCUUAGAGUCUCUUCCAAAGUUUUCCUAGGUCUUCCUCUACCCCUUCGGCCCUGAACCUCUGUCCCGUAGUCACAUCUUCGAACCGGAGCGUCAUUCGGCCUUCUUUGCACAUGUCCAAAUCACCGGAGCCGAUUUUCUCUCAUCUUUCCUACAAUUUCGGCUACUCCUACUUUACCUCGGAUAUCCUCAUUCCCAAUCUUAUCCUUUCUCGUGUGCCCACACAUCCCACGAAGCAUCCUCAUCUCCGCUACACCCAUUUUGUGUACGUGUUGAUGCUUCACCGCCCAACAUUCUGUGCCAUACAAACAUCGCUGGCCUUAUUGCCGUCCUAUAAAAUUUUCCCUUGAGCUUCAGUGGCCUACGACGGUCACACGACACGCCGGAUGCAUUCUUACACUUCAUCCAUCCAGCUCGUAUUCUAUGGUUGAGAUCUCCAUCUAAUUCUCCGUUCUCUUGCAAGAUAGAUCCUAGGUAGCGAAAACGGUCGCUUUUUGUGAUCUUCGCUAGAUUGCUCCGGUCAUUAGUGUGGAUAAGUAUAUAAAUGGAUAGAGAUAGGAAAGCAAACACAAGAUGUACGUGGUUCACCCAUAUUGGCUACGUCCACGGAAUAGAAGAGUUCUCAUUAAUUGUGAAGGGUUUACACAAGUACAUAGGUUCAAGCUCUCCUUUAGUGAGUACAAGUGAAUGAUUUAGUACAAAUGACAUUAGGAAAUAUUGUGGGAGAAUGAUCUCGUAAUCACGAAACUUUUAAGUAUCGGAGUGUGGUGUCGUCUUGACUUGCCUUAUCUGUCUCAUAGGUAGAUGUGGCAUCUUCUCUGGAAGUACUCUUCCUCCAUCCAGGGGUGGUAUCUUUAACUGGUGGAGAUGCACAAGGUAAUGUAUCAAUUUCACUUGAAGCUUACUUGUAGUUUCAGGCUUGGUCAAGCGCGAUACAAACCAUGUAGUAGGAGUCCCCCAAGUCGCCGAGCUAGGGGGUCUGCUGAAAGAGGUGACAGACAAGGUAAGCAAUCAGAGCUCCGACUGAUUGUUCACCUUCUCCCCAUCUUGCAGCAGCAUGAAGGAUAAAGAGAAGAAAAAUGAGAAGAGAUGAUAUGAGAUACUUUUGCUUUUGAAGAAGUAACUUUCCACAAGCUUAUUCUUGAACUGAGCUGGAGGGUUUUCUGGUUUCCUCCAGAGUAUAAGGCCGACUGAAGAAUUUGAGGGUCAAAACAAGUCCAUCAAAUCUAGAGUACGUUCCACCCUGCUGAUAUGGGAUACUUUUGCUUUUGACAGAGUAAUGGAUGUAUCGGCACGUGUGCUGUUACGCUUGUCUCCACAUGCUUCCUUGUAUCCUUCGCACUUGCCCUAUCUGUUCCUCAAGCAGAUGCGGAAUCUUCCCUGGAAACAUAAGAUGUUGAAGAUGAGUACUCGAGAGCAAUGCCAGGUAAGUAAUCAGGUAAGGGGUUCCAGGCAGUCAGUUCCUGGCUGGAAGCUUGAUUCCAAGUGCUGACUGAUUGCUCUCUUUCUCCUUGUCUUGCAGGUAAAAACAAGGCCAAAGGAAAAGACAGGGAAAAAGCAUGAUAUGGGAUACUCUUGCUUUUAACCCUGAUGAUAUGAGAUAUUCUUGCUCUAGUAUAGCUUGUUUACAGAGGUAUUAUCGGGGGGAAAGAAAGCUGAAUAUUUCGAAAGGCUUCGUUGGGAGUGCCCUCUCAGAUAUGAUGAAGGGUUGAGCAUUUUUGCAGGUCUGCCUGUCCGUUGGGGAUGGAGGUCGACAUAUAUAGGAGUCUCCCUAACAAGUAGUAAUGCUAUUCCUUUACCCUGCUUGGUCAUAGCACGGUAGUAGGGAGCUGCCAGUUUCACAUGUUUUAACUCUGUCAGAGCACUUUGAAAAAGUGGUCUGUGGUAUUUGGCUCUCGAGAUUCGGAGAACGAUGCCUCUUCGAUUUUUGAGAAAGCAAUCAUGCUGGGGGUCUGGCUCUCGAGAUUCGGAGAGCAGUGUCUCUUCAAUUUUUGAGGAAGUAAUCAUGUUGGGAGUCUGGCUCUCGAGAUUCGGAGGGCGGUGCCUCUUCGAUUUUGGAGCAAGCAAUUUUUGUUGGGAGUGUUUGUCUCGAAUGUGAGUAAAGGUUGGGCAUGUUUGCUAGUCUACCUUGCCACGAAGCACAAAGGUUGACACACAGGGACUUUCCAAUUAUCCAGCAAUGGUACUGUUCCUUUACCCUCUCUCUUCGAUUUUGAGAAAGUAGUCAUGUUGGGAGUCUGGCUCUCGAGAUUCGGAGGACGGUGCCUCUUCGAUUUUGGAGCAAGCAAUCUUGUUGGGAGUGUUUUCUCGAAUGUGAGUAAAGGUUGGGCAUGUUUGCUAGUCUACCUUGCCACGAAGCACAGAGGUUGACACACAGGGACUUUCCAAUUAUCCAGCAGUGGUACUGUUCCUUUACCCUUGUGGGUAAUAAUAUGGUAGCUAGACCUUCAAAAUUUAUGUGUCUAAACUUUGUUAGUGCUGUUUCUUUGCUAUUCUUUUACCUUUCUUGGUCAGAGCGAUGUAGUGGGAGCUGCAAGCUUCACGUGCUCAACUUUGGCAAAGUUAUCUGUGGUACCCAUGAGCUAUUGUUGCGUGUGGGAAGUGGGUGAUUGAACAGUAAGAUUCAUGUGCUUUCUACUUCACCAGAAGUCUUCGACAGAAUGCCCAUAAUUUCUGCAAAGCUGAGUGUGCGUGUGACAGGUGCUGACAAGGCUAGAAAAGUAGGUGUCUCUUCGAUUUCUGAGAUCGGCCCUCGUGGUCUCUGAGCAGCCCAGCUUUUGAGAAAGCGAGCGCCUCUUCGAUUGAUUCGGAGAACGAUGCCUCAUCGAUUUUUGAGAAAGCAAUCAUGAUGGGGGUCUGGCUCUCGAAGAUUCGGGGAGCAGUGUCUCUUCGAUUUUUGAGAAAGUAAUCAUGUUGGGAGUCUGGCUCUCGAGAUUCGGAGGGCGGUGCCUCUUCGAUUUUGGAGCAAGCAAUCUUGUUGGGAGUGUUUUCUCGAAUGUGAGUAAAGGUUGGGCAUGUUUGCUAGUCUACCUUGCCACGAAGCACAGAGGUUGACACACAGGGACUUUCCAAUUAUCCAGCAAUGGUAUUGUUCCUUUACCCUCUUCGAUUUUUAAAAAAGUAGUCAUGUUGGGAGUCUGGCUCUCGAGAUUCGGAGGACGGUGCCUUUUCGAUUUUGGAGCAAGCAAUCUUAUUGGGAGUGUUUUCUCGAAUGUGAGUAAAGGUUGGACAUGUUUGCUAGUCUACCUUGCCACGAAGCACAGAGGUUGGCACACAGAGACUUUCCAAUUAUCCAGCAGUGGUACUGUUCCUUUACCCUUGUGGGUAAUAAUAUGGUAGCUAGACCUUCAAAAUUUAUGGGUCUAAACUUUGUUAGUGCUGUUUCUUUGCUAUUCUUUUACCCUUCUUGGUCAUAGCGAUGUAGUGGGAGCUGCAAGCUUCACGUGCUCAACUUUGGCAGAGAACUUUGGCAAAGUUUUCUGUGGUACCCAUGAGCUAUUGUUGCGUGUGGAAAGUGGGUGAUUGAACAGUAAGAUUCAUGUGUUUUCUACUUCCCCAGAAGUCUUCGACAUAAUGCCCAUAAUUUCCGCAAAGCUGAGUGUGCGUGUGACAGGUGCUGACAAGGCUGGAAAAGUAGGUGCCUCUUCGAUUUCUGAGAUCGGCCCUCGUGGUCUCUGGGGAGCCCAGCUUUUGAGAAAGAGAGCGCCUCUUCGAUUUCUGAGAUCAGCCUUCGUGGUCUUUGAGCAGCCCAACUUUUGAGAAAGCAAACGCCUCUUCGAUUUCUGAGAUCAACCCUCGUGAUCUCUAAGCAGCCCAGCUUUUGAGAAAGCAAACGCCUCUUCGAUUUCUGAAGCUCCGUCGAGUGCAGAUUUUUAUAGGGGCUGGCAUUAAGUUCCAAAGCACACUUGAAUCUCCACCAGUAGAAGCUUCAUUCUUGCACUUCUAAGAUCUUGAUUUGUCCGACCUCUUCUCUCUUCAACACCUUUGAAAAUGUCUGGCCCCUCCGACCGUCGUUUUGACUUGAACCUUGUUGAAGAGGCAGCCCCGCCUUCUCCAGACAACAUAUGGCGCCCAUCCUUCGUCUCCCCUACUGGUCCUCUUACCGUUGGGGAUUCCGUGAUGAAGAAUGAUAUGACCGUUGCGGUGGUGGCCAGGAACCUUCUCACUCCCAAAGAUAACAGACUACUUUCCAAACGGUCUGAUGAGUUAGCUGUUAAGGAUUCGCUGGCUCUCAGUGUUCAGUGUGCAGGUUCUGUGUCUAAUAUGGCCCAACGCCUAUUUGCUCGAACCCGCCAAGUUGAAUCAUUGGCGGCUGAAGUGAUGAGUCUCAAACAGGAGAUUAGAGGGCUCAAGCAUGAGAAUAAACAGUUGCACCGGCUCGCACAUGACUAUGCUACAAACAUGAAGAGGAAGCUUGACCAGAUGAAGGAAACUGAUGGUCAGGUUUUACUUGAUCAUCAAAGAUUUGUGGGUUUGUUCCAAAGGCAUUUAUUGCCUUCGUCUUCUGGGGCUGUACCGCGUAAUGAAGCUCCAAAUGAUCAACCUUUGAUGCCUCCUCCUUCUAGGGUUCUGUCCAGUACUGAGGCUCCAAAUGAUCCCCCUCCGGUGCCUUCUCUUUCUGGGGCUCUACCGACUGCUGAGACUUCUCCUAAGCAACCUUUGUGAAGGCUCCCUCUUGUGUGUUUUAUUUGACUCAUGUAUAUGCACAUAUUUGUAGCUUAUCGGGGAUAUCAAUAAAUAAGCUUUCCUUCAUUUCAACGUAUUGUGUUAAAUACACCAAAGCCUUCUUCGCUAAGUUCUUUGAAUUUUCUUUUGUUGAAGCUUGUAUGUUGAAGCUUUCUGAGUGGAGCAUGAAGGUUGGGGUAGUGUUCCCUUAAUUUUCCGAGUGAGGAAAACUUCUCGGUUGGAGACUUGGAAAAUCCAAGUCACUGAGUGGGAUCGGCUAUAUGAAUCUUAGAACGCCAUUGUGCUCAAUCCUGUGUCAUGUCCUUCGUUAGAUCCAAGUACUCUAAGUCUUUUCUUAGAGUCUCUUCCAAAGUUUUCCUAGGUCUUCCUCUACCCCUUCGGCCCUGAACCUCUGUCCCAUAGUCGCAUCUUCUAAUCGGAGCGUCAGUAGGCCUUCUUUGCACAUGUCCAAACCACCGUAACCGAUUUUCUCUCAUCUUUCCUUCAAUUUCGGCUACUCCUACUUUACCCCGGAUAUCCUCAUUCCUAAUCUUAUCCUUUCUCGUGUGCCCACACAUCCAACGAAGCAUCCUCAUCUCCGCUACACCCAUUUUGUGUACGUGUUGAUGUUUCACCGCCCAACAUUCUGUGCCAUACAGCAUCGCCGGCCUUAUUGCCGUCCUAUAAAAUUUUCCCUUGAGCUUCAGUGGCAUACGGCGGUCACAUAACACGCCGGAUGCACUCUUCCAUUUCAUCCAUCCAGCUUGUAUUCUAUGGUUGAGAUCUCCAUCUAAUUCUCCGUUCUUUUGCAAGAUAGAUCCUAGGUAACGAAAACGGUCGCUCUUUGGUAUUUCUUGAUCUCCGAUCCUCACCCCUAACUCGUUUUGGCCUCCAUUUGCACUGAACUUGCACUCCAUAUAUUCUGUCUUUGAUCGGCUUAGGCGAAGACCUUUAGAUUCCAACACUUCUCUCCAAAGGUUAAGCUUUGCAUUUACCCCUUCCUGAGUUUCAUCUAUCAACACUAUAUCGUCUGCGAAAAGCAUACACCAAGGAAUAUCAUCUUGAAUAUGUCCUGUUAACUCAUCCAUUACCAACGCAAAAAGGUAAGGACUUAAGGAUGAGCCUUGAUGUAAUCCUACAGUUAUGGGAAAGCUUUCGGUUUGUCCUUCAUGAGUUCUUACGGCAGUCUUUGCUCCUUCAUACAUAUCCUUUAUAGCUUGGAUAUGUGCUACUCGUACUCCUUUCUUCUCUAAAAUCCUCCAAAGAAUGUCUCUUGGGACCCUAUCAUACGCUUUUUCCAAAUCUAUAAAGACCAUGUGUAAAUCCUUUUUCCCAUCUCUAUAUCUUUCCAUCAAUCUUCGUAAGAGAUAGAUUGCCUCCAUGGUUGAGCGCCCUGGCAUGAACCCGAAUUGGUUGUCCGAAACCCGUGUCUCUUGCCUCAAUCUAUGCUCAAUGACUCUCUCCCAGAGCUUCAUUGUAUGACUCAUUAGCAAUUCUCAUCUUCCCAAAGGAAUAAACCAAGAGCAUGAAUUCAGAAAAAUAUAUAAACAAGGCGAAAACGGGGAGUCUUCUGGGAAAUGCUCUAAACUCAUGGUAAGACUGUUCACCUUCUAUGGUUUGGUGUGAAAAGAAAUUUGAGGGGGGGGGUUGGAUUGUUAAUAGCAUUUGGUAUUUAUAUCACCCACUCUCAAAUCCCUUAAAAUCCUUCAUUCACAAAAAUCCUAGCAAAUCUUUAACAUUUCCACUACACCUAGAUUUGUAUGGACUUUUUAAACUUUUAAUUGACUACCCAUGAAUUUGGAUGUAUUCUUUAAAUCCUCCUAUAUCCUAAUUUGACUACACCAUGAUUUUAAAAUAUUUUAAAAUCCACAUUCAAACUUCUAAUUAACUACUCUGAUUUUAAAGUCCGUUAAAAUACUAUCAAAUUCUAGUUUGACUACACCUCUUACUUUUCCGGCAACUUCUUGCAGUGAAGAAGGGGCGAAAAGAAAUUCCUGGAAAUUAGCUUACCUUACUUCUCCCUUACUCUUUCUCCCUGAACCCAUACCAAACAGAAAUCGCCGAAAAUCCUCUCCCCUACCCUCUGUCACUUGGCGAAUUACAGAAAUGCAGCUGUUGGAUGUGGAAUCAAGCAGGGAAAAUGGUAAUUUCACUACCCCACUCUCACUCCAGAGUCAAAGAUCCGCACCAAAUCUCUCUCACUCUCUCUGUCUCUCUCUGCAAGCGACAUUGCUGUCCCCCUCUGUCGGCUCUAGAAUUCCCUACCCAUCAAUCCAAAUUCGUCCCAAAAUUAAGAUGACAAAAGUGCCCUGCAGCCCUUCAAUCUCAUCCGCGUGAUCCUAACCCUAGAUAGAUAUUUCCGUCAUUUAAGCACCCUAAGGCAUACAAGUAUGUUCAUUCUUGUUACAAGAAAGCAGCAUACUUGAGAGCCUACACUCCUUAUAUCCAAUCCAUGCCUAGUCAAGAAUUUUGGUCACCUACAAAUCACCAACCCGUUGCACCUCCAAAGUAUCAUAAGCAAGCUGGUAGGCCAAAGAAGCUGAGGGCAAGAGAGAAAGAUGAGCCACAACCACCAUCAACCUUAAACAAAUUGCCUAAAUGCUUCAGUAAGGUCACUUGUGGAAUGUGUGGCAAGAAAUGUCAUAAUUGUACAACAUUCGGGAAGAAGCAACGACAAGCUUCACAGGUAAAAGUAGCUUAAUGCUUUCACUUAUCUGCAUUUUUUUUUUUUUUGAAAACUCACUUAUCUGCAUUUUUAGUCACAUAUGGUUGUUAUAAAUUGGGGAAUAUCAUCUCAUAGGCCUAUGUAGAAGCUGGGAGAGGACAAACUUGUGGGACAAAUGAAAUUGGCCAUAACUCACCAACUACUAAAAGUGGGCAAACACAAGCAAUGGUGUGCUCACUGAAAACUUUCGUAUUUUAAAUUUUAGUCUUGUAUUUAUAGACGGAUGUAUGUGUAACUUUUUUAUUGAUCAUUUUGUAGCAUGCCACUGGAGGAAAUAUGGGAAGUGAAACUCCACCAAAUCAGGGACAAGAACAAUCUGCAUCUAAUGCAAGUUCUUUUGACCUAUGUCUUUGUCCCUUUCUCGUGUGUGCUUUUAUAACCCAAUGCCAUCUGUUAAUUUUUCAGGUUUUUUAUUAUUUAUUAUUUUUAUUAUUUGUAGGUUUCUAAAAGGCGUAGUGUGAAAUGAAAUGCAAAAGGCAAGUCAGUGCACAAUUCAAGAAAGCCACCUGAAAACUGUAGAAUCUGAAGGAAAUCAUUUGGAAAUUUAGACUUUUUGUUAAUGUCAAUUUUUUUUUUUUUUUGAUGAAGACAAUGUUGUGAACUUUAAGCCCUGUUUUUUAUUUUGAACAUAAUUAAGCAAUGAAAUAAUAUUUUUGAUAUGGUAGCAAUCAAAUGAUCAGGCAUUGCAUUCUGUUAUGGUUGCUCAAAAUAUGUUUAAGAUACAAUAGUGGGUGUGUUCAGUUUAGCAUGUCACAAAAUCAAAUUUUAUAUGGGCUCUGUAAUAUAAGAAACGGGUUGAGAUUGGUGCCAUAAAUGGAGUUGUAGAUGCAUAUGCGCUACUCGAACACAACUAUCCACAUGAAUACUCUCUAACAAAAUUUUAAGAGUUUUACUAAAGAAAAGUAAAAACUUGUUAAAAGAUCUUAAAAUGACAUAAAUAACCCCGAACAAAGCCAUGUGUGAGGCACAUGACUUAUUUUGGAUGGAAAACUUAACGGAGUAAGAGUGAGAUGACAAAUUGAUGAUUUCGACAAGUUGGUAUGAUAAAUUGCUUAAAAUUUUAGUUUAUAUGACACAUUGAAAAAGAUGUACAAGUUCAUAUUAUAUUUCAAAAAAAUUCCUUGGAAAAAUUAUGGUCCCUACGUCCAACCAAAUAAUAAGGUUUUUGAUGAGAUAAUGCAUGCCAACUUGAGCAUUAUAAUGUUCAUGAUUUUGUUUGAGUCUAUACAUAUAUUUACUCCGUAAACGUAGAUUAGGUCGGUUGGUAAGCCAUUGUAUCUGUCACGUUUUUAUAUUUAAGUUUAAAUUAUUCUCUCGUAACUCGUAAGUUAUAGCUUCUAAUACCGUCUUAACAAAACUAAAUAUACUUAUUUUUAGUGGGAUAUAUUUUGCUUAAGUAUGCAUGUUUGCAAGAUUAAAUGAAAACCUCCAAAACGUAUGGGGUUAAAUUGAAUUCUAACCACCACCACCACCCCCAUAUAAUUAGGGCAAAAGGCGAAUUUAGGAGGGCUCCUGUUACAGCCCAUCCAUAAUUUUUUUUUGUUAAAUGUGUAACGAUCAAAAUGCCCUUAGAGGGUAUGUGUCGACUUUCAUUAACUUACUGGACAGGUCACGUGUGACAUAUUAAUUAGUAUAUUCUGACAGCAUUCGUUAUUAUGAAUGACUGAUCAUAAGCAUAGCGAAAAUUAGAACUAGAAGCAAGAUUUUAUGAAAUAGUAUAAAUCAUUUUAUUUAAAGUAAUGGAAAAGAUAAUAACACUAGAUAUAAAAUAUGAAUGAUAGAAUAAAAUAAUUUUUAAAAAAAAAAGAUGAAAAGAUGAGAGGUGGAGAAGGAUCGGGAAGAAACGAAAAGAAGGGAAAAGUGGAGAAGGGGGAAAGAAACUUUUCUUCUUCUUCCUUCUCCUUCACUCACGGUAUCCCUUUCAAACUAUUUUCAUCAUAAUUUCCUCAUACGAUAACGAAAUCACAUGAGGUGGGAAGCUAUAGUUUCGUAGCAAGGCCGUCUUCAAUCUUACCAUACCCACCCUUUCAAAACCAUUGUAUAAAGAAAACGAGGUCCAAAUAUAUUGACGUGUUAUGGCGACUUUUCUCUGAUUUCGGGCAAUCCCACUGGAAUCUAGCUCGACCCAAGUGAAAAUAAUGAUUUUCCCCUCGUGGGCUCUCCUCUAGCGUAAGCAUUUUUCCAAGGUUUUAACUUUUAGUUUUGGGGUCAAUUCAUGGUUUCGAAUUUUAAUUCGAUAUUUUGUAUGCAUAUUUGAGAUGAUGCUUGUUGUAUUGUUUAGGAGUUGAAUCGGAACCGGGUAGUCAUGUUUGGUUGCAUAUAUAAGGAAGAACAUUGAAAUCCUAACCUCAAUUCGAUUCUCUUUAGAAAUUUAAGGGUUGGGUUUGUGUUAUAAGCAUUAAUGUUAUUCCAUAAUCGAGGCCAGAUACGUUGGAAUAUUUUGUGUGCCAUAUUUGUCCUACCCUUUAUGCACUGAAAAGAACAUUGCUGAAAUUGUAUGUGUUGCAGCCUAGGUUUGUCACGCCCCGAUCCCGACAUACGUUCAUGAUGGACACGUGACGUCAUCAAAUAACCAUAUAUCUAACAUACCCGUCUUUGGGAUAUGUACCAAGCACAUCCCAUACCUCGAAUUGCGUAGUCAUUUUUUUUUUGUACACUUUAUGGCUGCAUCUAACCUCCCGUUAGACUGCCUACGUACCCUCAAUAGGGAUCAAGCCAUUCGUAGUUCGUCAUUCACUAAUUUAGACAUUUAUUCUAGUACGUUCUAACAGGAAUACGUAGCAUUCUGUAAUUAAUUAUUAGAACUUGACAUGCAUGACAUUACCAAGUUCAAGGCUACAAAACAAACCAACAUGCCAUUGUCAUUCCACAAUCUUGUCAAUCGAUCAAUUCAUAAAUCAAAGAUACAUGAUCUUAGCAUUUAAUUAUGUUAAUCAAUGAAUGCAAUAACAUGUCAUUUCACAAAAUUAACCAAGGAACUCUAUAUAAUUUCCUACUUGGAUUAUGAGCAAUAACAUGGUAAAUCUAUUUUAUAUUCGCAAGGUCUAUUGUGGAUAACUCUCAUUCAUUCGAAUCUAGGCUUCUAGACUAACCUUAUGGGAAUGAGCAAGAGCAAGGAUUCCGGACCACUCAACAGAAUCCAACAACACUGAGUUUCGGACCACUCAACGAAACCAAAAUAUCAAGUGGUUUCUUAUAAUCUAUCCAGGCCUGUCAUAUGUAAAAUCAGUGCCAACAUCAUGGAAAUGGUGCACCGACCAAACAGAACUCGGAUAAGCUGCGAAGCUCGGGUGAGUGACAAUAAUACAAGUAUGUGAUAAUCAAUAAAAACAAAGACCAUUGAUCAGAGUUUAUAAACCUCAAUAUAAGUUCGUAAAUAUAAAAACAUAGUCAAGUCUCUAACAACUCUGAAUGAGUCAUCCAGACAUCCAACGGCUUUUCCCAUUCAAACCACCAAGAUUCUCAAAAACCAUCAUUCAUAUGUACAUUAAAAACUAGGGCUAGAGGGAUGUAGUUCAGCCGAAGCCUACAUAAGUAACCAAACACGAAGUGGCCACCCAAAGCGGAUUAACCAAGCAGAGCCACCCCUGAGAAAGUAACCAAGUAGGCAAUGACCCUCCAAUGCGGAUUAACCAAGCAGAGUCACUCAUAUAGUUGUUAGGAAGUGAUCACCCAAUGCAGAUUAACCAAGCAUGAUCACUCAUAAGCAUACAUGGCCAUAAGGAUCGCCCAACGCAGAUUAACCGAGCGCGAUCCACAUAUAGUAUGGUCCCCCAAUGCGGAUUAACCAAGAAGGACCACUAGUGACCCCCCCAAUGCGGAUUAACCAAGCAGGGUCAAGAUAAUUAGGUAGGUAGUGACCCCGAACGCGGAUUAACCAAGCAAAGUCACACCUACAGAACUGUUAGGCAGUGAUCACCUAACGCGGAUUAACCAAACAUGAUCACCCCUAAGUAUAAAUGGCCAUAAGGAUCACCCAACGCGGAUUAACCAAGCGUGAUCCAUAUAUAGUAUGGUGCCCCAUGCGGAUUAACCAAGCAGGACCAUCGAUAUACCAUUGCUCCAUGGUGCAGGAAAUUUAACACAUAAUCUACCCACAACUCAACCCCUAUGGGUUACAACGUAGUCACUACACCAUCAACUUCUCAUGGCCACCAACUAAUACAUCACACAAUCAUAUAAAUUCUACAUAAUACUUCUAAUAGGAUUCUAAGAUCACAUAGUCAUAGCAUUUAUCAUUCUUAUCAUUCACAUUGCUAAAAAGAGAUAAUUAAACACACGUAUAUUACAAUCAUCAAUACACAAGCCAAAUCACGUAUAGCUAAAUAUAUAUAUAUAUAUAUAAAAAAUCACAUUUCAAAAGAAAUUACAUUUAUAAAACCAAGUCAUAUUCACAAAUGAUAUUAAUAUAAGAAAUUAAGGUAAUAACCAUAUCACAUAUAUUCAAAUCACUCUCUAACCAAUGGUUCACUAGACUUCACUUAGUCUCCCGUAGUACCAAUUUUAGUAUCCAAAACGUUUCGGGACAUGUUGACCAAAAGUCAACUCUCGAUCAACGGUAGGGUUCGCAACUCCACGUAAUUCAAUCCGAAAGAUCUGCCGAUCCGAUUUUGGAUCCGUAAGUUCUUAGGUCCUUAUUAUUCUCAUAGAAUAACAUACUAAAUUCUCAUUGAGAUCCGACGGCCGGAUCUCCGCCAAUUUCUAGAAUUAGGUGGCGGUCAACAAUAAGUUUUACAAACUUAGAAAUUCAAUUCGGGAAAAUCCGUACUUCGGAUUCCCGAUCCGUCAAUUUCUAAUGUCCUAAAAUAUUAUGUGUUAUAAUGCACUAAAGUUUGGAGACGAUCCAACAGUUGGAUCAUCAAUUCGUAUAAUGAUCAAGUGAUGUAUCAUAAUGAAACUAGGUUCAAUUAAUCAAAUCACAUUAUUCGGAUAUCAAAUAUGAAAUUAGGGCAUCUAAUUGGACUUAGAAAGACAUCAUCGGUCCACCGCCGCACGCGCCGCCGCACACGGCGGCCUGUCGUCCCAACUUGCAGGAAAAUUCAACUAACUCCAAAAAUUAUCAAAUUUUACAGGCAAGUAGAUUUCAAUAAGAGGAACAACUUUCAUACCUGGUCCAAAGUCCAAUUCAGCCGGGAAGUGGCCUGAAAACUCCUCCAUCAGCCAGAACCCUAGAAAUUAGGUGCGGUUCAAUUCAAUGUCAAACUCAACUCCACCGCCUCCAAUGUUGAUUGGGCUUUGUUCCUGGACUCUAAAGACACUUGAGGGUGGUGAUGGUUGACGGAAAUCCCUUCGAAAAUAGGCGGAUCGCCGUCAUGGCUUCGGAACACCCACUGUCAGUUCUUCACCAAAUUACCCUAAAUUACUUCGAAUAGGGAGUGGUGAGAUAAAGCUUGGGCAUGUGAAUUCGGUCCAAUUUGAUGGAAAUCCAAUGGAAAACCAUCAGAAAAUAUGGUGGAACAAGUCGGGUGCGCGGGUCAAGGGGAAACUCGAUUUCCCCCUCAUUCUCUCCUUCCCUCAUUUCCCCUUCUUUCUUCCUCCCUCAUUCGCUACCUCCUUUCUCUAUCCUCCUCCCCUUGGCCGAAACUCUCCCCUUUUCCUCUUGAAACUCCCUUCUUCUUUCUUUUCUUCCCUUUUUUUUAAUUGGCUGCUGCCUAACCUUUUUUUUUUGUUUAAAUCUGAUUGGUCAUUUCCCUCUUCUAACCAAUUGGUCCUUUAACCCAAAUAUCGGUAUGGGCCUCUUACUCACAAAGUGGGAGAUAAUUAAUUCCUAAAAUCUAUAGUAUCACAACUUUAAACGUCGGUAAUUAUACUGUUAUAAUCCGAACUCGCAAACGGCUUUCGCUUGUGCGUUCAUGGGAUCGAGCUCUAUUCAGAAAUAUAAAUUGUGACCUCGAAAGAUCUACGGAUUUUAAAUAAUUAAUUUCCAAACUUCAAACUUCGUAACUGGUUUAAUUAAAAUCUAAAUUCAAAUAAAUUACUAUAAAUUCCCAAAAACAACAUAAAAUUUCAAUAAUAAUAAUGCGUGGAUUAUAACAGUGAAAUCCGGGAACGAGAUUUCACAAGGUUUGUGCAGUUAAUUAGAGUUCUAAAACUACUGAAUGGUUCUUUAUUCUUCCCAUGGCAUAUUUAUUCUUCCCAUGGCAUUGCCAGAUGUUGAAUAUUUGAUUGGACAAUGUUAUUAUUAGAGUAUUAUAUGACUUUUGUUUUGGCUGUGGAUUUAUUGGUGGUUCUUUAUUUCAUUCUUUCAGCGGAUGAAGAGCUUAAGACUGCUAGGAAUUUACAUUUUUAUUUUGAGGCACUUGAAUAAACAAUUUGGUUUUUCUAUAAUAAUAAUUAAGGAUCAUUGAUGGUUGGGCUAGUGUACUAGUUACGAAUAAUUAUAUGAAUGUUAUAGUUUAUGGAUUGCAUGUUAUUCUAUGGCCUGAGAACUAGUUCCUUGGUUAAGAUUAAUGGAUUAUCAAACAUUAUACAUAUUCUCUAAUUGAAUACAUUACUAUGUUUAUGAGUUCAAGAUCAAUUUAUUAUGGCUGGUAUAGAUAUCAAUAGUUGACAUAUCCAAUUUGGUGUGGUUACUUUUCGUUUAAGUAUUUCACGCUUAUACGUAUCAUGUUGUUUGCUUAAAUGAUACAAUGGAUGUCCUAUUAGGUGUAAAUGUCUACAUGCAUGCCUAUUCUGAAACCAAAAUCAAGUUGAUGGUUCAUGUUUUGAAGUUAUAUAUAUGUGUGAGUGUGUGUGUGUGUGUGUGUGUGUCUCAUAUGCCUAGACAAGCUAUACAAAGAAAGUAUACCGUUUCUAUUAGUUAUUCUGAUUACAUGUACGUAGUAAUGACUUGCAGUGGUGAUAUGAGUUUAUUGAAAUGAUAAACCACAAAUGACUUGAUCCCUUUAGGGUAUGUAGGCAGUCUAACGAGGAGGUUAGAUGCAGCCAUAAAGUAUACUAAAAUUACUACGCAAUUCAAAUCUUGAGUUAUGCUUUGUACAUAUCCCGGAGGCGGGGUAUGUUAGAUAUACAGAUACUUGGUGACGUCACGUGUCGAUCCUGGACAUAUGUCGGGAUCGGGGCGUGACGGCUCAUUUCAAUCAUUUUGUACCCCUACAUAUUAUUGUGAUUCAAUGAAGCUCCCCAUUAAAUGAAUUGCACCAAAUAGGGGAGGCCUUCGCGGGAUCUCUGUGUCCGAAGCCGACAAACACAGAGAUCCAAACCACUCAUUUUAAAUUAUAUGGUUCUUAUUAGCUCAUUCUAAUGGCCUUCCUCACACAAACCACUGAGUUUAGAUCUCCCUCUCUUUAACUACCUUGGAUAUGGGGUCACUCUUUAACCACCACCACCCACCCACAACAAAAGUACAACUAUAAGCAAAGUUGUAUGAGGGGUCGCUCUAAAAUUGAUCUUAAAAUUAAAUAGUCCGUCGUUCCAAAAAUUGUUUUGGCAAUAUUGCAUUUAAAAUUAUCUGACAAUAUAACAUUAUUCCGAAAAAAAUUUGUAUAAAUUAUAAGUUCAAACAAAAGACACUAUAUAGCUUAUUCUUGACUAUUUUAGGUGUAUAUAUACUCCAUUGCUGAAAAUUCUACUAUGCUCAUCAUAAUUCUUGCCAAUUGACCAGGCAAUUGGGUUAAAUUACCUUUGACCAAAAAUAUGAUGGUCCGUCGAUGCCAAAUUGGGCAGGCAAUUGUUGGGCUCCAAGAAGCUCGUUGAACUACCCUUGCAGCCCGUUGGCAAUAAGUAACGACGGGCCUGACGUCAAGUAGCUGGAGGCUGACCUUAACCCCGUGCACCAAUGUUGAACCAAACAGCUCUAAUUUGGGCGCCCCACAACUAUUGGAUUUUCAACAAUUUGUUGAUCCGGACUAUUAAAUUUCAAAAGAUACAAGUAAUUUAAAAGAUGAUGUUGUGCCACGUGGCACUUUGUGGCGCAUUUGAUAUUAAAAUUUUGAAAAAUUCAACGGUCAGGAUUAAUCCCACGGUAAAAAAUACAAAAAAAAAAUUAGAAAAAAUUUACAACAAAAAAUAUCUAAAAAAACUUUCAAAUUUCACACUUAAACAAAAAUCUGAGCUGAUAUUACUAAUAGAUAAAGACACGUGGUGCGAUGAAAGUGGUUGAAAAUGGAAAAGUAUCCUCUCCGGCUCCCUUCCACCAAAUCCACCAAGUUCAAAGAUCCGAGUAAUUUAAAUUUGAUCAAACGGCUACAAACAAAGUUCACUAUAAAAGUUAUAAUAGAUUUGAUCAAAUUUCAAGGGCCGAUCCGAACUUGUGAAUUUGGCGGAAGGGAUCCGGAGUCAUUUCUGUUGAAAAUCUCAUCGCCUCUCCUUUCAGCCCUUCAAGGAAAACCCACUUCUUGGGCCGUCUUCAACCACGUAAAGCUUCACUCUUAUAUUAGUUUCGGUGUUUAAAAUUGUUGGGAUUUGCAGUUUUGGAUUGAAAUUUGUGUUUUGGGAUUUGUUGGGUGCUCGCAUGUGUUAAUUUGGAAAAUUUUAGUUGUGGAUUAUGGGGAACUGAUGUAAUGGCGAUCCCGUUUCAUGUAAGUUGCUUUUGUUGAUGUGUUUUUGGUGAAAUAAUGACGAGGAGGGUUGGAUAGUUUGGCUGGUUUUAAUUUUUUUUUGUGAAAUUAGAGUGGGAUCAAUCAAGGUUGAGACUUUUUAAGGUAAGAGUUAUUGUGAAAGUUAUGUUUUUACAAAUUUUUGGGCAAAUUUUGUGACUUGGUGGAUUUGGAAUUUUGGUUAUAUUAGAUAUAUGUGUAAAGAAAAUAGUUGAACUGCAUGAAGCUUGAGGGGUAAUGAGGGUUUUAGGUAUUUAGUGACAUUCAGGCCAUGCUUGAUGUCUAUUUGAUGUCGGUGUAUCGGAAAUGCUUGAACAAAGAAGAAAGGUGCUCGAAGAGCUGCAGUAGUUAACUACUUGGUUUGAUUAGAUUGCUAUGUUAAUCAAAAUGUCCCCUGUAGUAUGUUUAUAGGGUUAAAGUUUUACUUUAGCGUUCUUUAGCGACUUGGUUUCAAAAGUUCACUUUCCUUGGUCUGUGAGGCCAAUGGUAGAAUGAUCAUGGAAAAAUGAAAUUGUUCUGUCUUAAUUUUGUCUGGUAAGAGCGGGUAUGCAUUCUUACAGGACUCGUUUGUCAUUCUUUUAAGCUGUUUAAUGUGCUCAUUUCAGUAUGCAUCAUCCAAAGUCUUUAACCGCUCAAAGUAGCACUACAAGGGCCAGGGAGCUAUCAUCUGUUUGUAAAUAAGAGCUAUAGACAUGUCCUAUAAGGUCAAUAGGUCUCAGUUGCAUAUCUAACUUGUUUCUCAUGUGUUUUCAUCCUAAAGGUUAGAAAAGGUGGGUGCUCUAGACACGCAAGGAGUGGUUCAUCAACACCAAGGGAUGGCGGCUGAUCUCAUGUAUGUGGUUACAUGCUGGAGUUUUCCAUGUGCUUGCCAAUAUGCUGAGUCUUGUAUUCAUUGGAAUUCGGCUUGAGCAAGAAUUUGAAUUUGGUAAGCAUCUGGAUUUUUAGCUUCAUGUAUGUUAUCAUGCAUGUAUGGCCACAUCCAUAAGUGAUUGUAGUAAAAGAUAAUACAUAUAUAUAUAUAUAUAUAUAUAUAUAUAUAUAUAUAUAUAUAUAUAUAUAUAUAUGAGCAAAAAGCCGUCUCAAAGAAGGAGAACGAAGCUUUAAUCUCAUUGGCUACUACAUAAUGGAUAAAAAGGUCGUACCUAGUGCACAAGGCUCCUGCUUUACGCAGGGUCUGGAAGAGGUGAAUGUCGGCUAGCCUUACCACCAUUUAUGGAGAGGCUGCUCCCAAAUCUCGAACCCGAGACCUACCGCUCAUGAGCGAAAGCACUUGCCAUCGCACCAAGUGCGACCUCUAGCUACUACAUAAUGGAUGCAUCAAAAAAAAAAUCCACACAUAUAUGACAUUAGCGUAAAAUUAUAUGAAAUGGGUUCAGUCUAAAACUUGUAACAAGCUAAGUUGUACAUUUCUUGAAUUCAUCUGGCAAAAGGCUAGUUCUGUCUUAGCUAACUUUGUAAUAUACUUCUACUAAAGCAUGCCAACAAUCUAAGUUUAAGUUCCUAUUACUACUAAGGCAUUCCAUCUUUCAACUCUAAAUCUUAAGAAUAAUCAGAAAUCCACCAACUUUAAAGAUAUUUGACCCUCCCACAACAUGGAAUUGAUGGUUUACAAACACAGUAUCAAACAGAAAAUAGUAUUGCAUAUGAACAUGAUUUGAACGAAAUAGGAGCCAGAAGAAAGAAAUGCCCACCAUCCUGUCAUGAACUUUUUUGAUGCCCAACUUCUAACAAUUUUGGAAAACGUCUGCACAGAGAUAAAAAGAGAUUAGAAUGAUUGUUAUGAAGAUUAAGAAAAAGGAGCACAAACACUCAAAGCAUCGGAAAACUUAUGCCCCAACUUAGGCCACCAAAAAGUAACAAACUUUGACACACUGUAACCGUUUCUUCUUCUCCUUCCGAUUCAGAGUGUAUUAUGCGUCUUGCCUAGUUGUAUUAUGUUGAAAAGUUGGACUGGGCAUUCAUAUGGCUUCCCUUUCUCCGGCCAAAACCAAACAACAGCUUGCUCAUCCCCUGCAAUUAAAAUACAACAAAAAAAAUCAAAAGAAUAAGUUAAAAUUUAAAAUCUCAUCUGGGUACGUUGGGUUCGAUAUUUUAUCAAUUGUUGUUUCUGAGUUGUGUUUUUUGCGGAUUUUCACAACCAAAAAUAAACCUUAAUACCCAGACCUAAAUUCUUGUUCGGAUUUUAUUAGAUUUUUUAUACCGUAUAACUUACCAAUUUCCAUUGUGUUUGAGAAGAUAAACUACUUUUGUAAAGAACUUUAGAAUUCUAAAUUAGGAUAAAUUGCUUAUCUUUAGCAAAAUGGAUUCUACUGCUAUUCUUCACAGGCGACGGUGAAUGUUUGGGUGCCGCUGCUGGUUGGGAUUGCGCUAGUUGUUGCACACGCGGCGUUGAGGUGGACCGAUGGGUUGCCGUGGACAAAGAGAGCUCUGCGUUGUUGACUGGUUAUUCGGCUCGAUUAUGCGAAUUCAUGGAUUUGGAUGAAUCAGUGAUGGCGGUGGUUUGGGUAAACUAUUUGGAGAAACAAUUUACAGCGUCACACGGUGGGGAAGCAUCCAGAAAUCAGGUGGGUCGACAGACUGAAACGGUGGGGCAAGGAAGAAUUCAGAAAUGAAGUAAAAGACCAAAGAAUAAUAAGGGGGUGUAUUCAAUUAUUGGUAUUUUAAGAGCUUUUAAUUUUUUUAAUGAAUAUAGGGUGUAUUCAAUUACGAUUUUAAAAAGGUUCACAAUAUUACAAAUGUAUUCAAUUAGUAUUUGAUUUUAAAGAAUUUUAGAAAGUUGAGUAAUUAUAGGAAAUUUGAGAGAUUUUGUAGUAUAUUUUAAGCAUCUAUAAAUCUCUUAUCUUCCCAUGAGAUUUCAAGGUAAUUAAAUUAAAAUUUUACAUAAAAUCUUUACAAAUCAAUUAAACUUCAUAAAAAUCCAUGAAUUUAUAAACCUUUUAAAAUCUCAUCAAUUCUCAAUUGAAUACACCCUUUUAAAGCAGGACUCAAGAUGGAAUCUCAUUGUACAAUAUACAGUAACGACAGAAACAGAGAAAGAAUAAAAAUGGAAUAACACUGUAGAAUAAACAGUGUUUUAGGCAAUUUUCUCUUUUAGUGUGUGUAUAUAAUUUGCAUAGUAUGUAACACUGAGAAAAAUGACACGUAAUAUAACAACAACAAAACACUAAGAACUACUAAAUCUUAUUCUAUUAUGCAUGGGUUAGCCGUAUAAAUUCUAAAAUUUCACUAAGCCGGUUUGGUGAUAAGUUUUUCGUUACCAUCGUACUCCAUAUCUUUCUUACCAUUUCUUCCCAAAUGUUCUUACUUCCUCUACCCUCUGAACUAACCCAAGAAACAUAAAUUUUUUUUUUUUUAAAAAACCCCAAAAAGUAGAAAAAAAAGAGGCAAACUUCAGAACCCAUUUCAUUCAAUUUUUCCCACAUUUUGAUUUCGAUGAGAUUCGAAUCAAAACCCAAAUGGGGUUUCUGGGUCUGAAUCCAAAUUUUUGAUUGAAGACAAAAAAAACGAAAAAAGGGGAGAUUUUUAUGGAGAGAGGCCAACCUGCUGCGCCGAGCAGCUUAGAGAUAAAGGUGGUGAGUCCACGGCGGAGCGACAACGUUGUGCACCCGGCGGGACAGCCUCCGGAGACGACGACGCCGCGGCAAUCGUUCAGCGACUACAGCCCGUUGAAGAGGUGGGUGUCAUGGCUGGUGCCGUCGAUUGUGGUGGCCAACAUUGUGGUUUUUGUGGUGACCAUGUUCGUGAACGAUUGCCCCAAGAACUCCGACACUUGCAUUGGUCGGUUCCUCGGCCGCCUCUCCUUUCAGCCCUUCAAGGAAAACCAUGUAAAUUUUUCACUCUUUUAUUUGUUGGGGUUUGGAGUUUUGGAUUGAAAUUUGUGUUUUGGGAUUUAUUGGGCAUUUACAUGUGGAAAUUUGGAAAAUUUUAGUUGUGGAUUGUGGGGAACUGCCGUAGUGGCGGCGAGCCCGUUUGUGUGUUUUUUGGUGAAACUAUGAUGAGGAGGGUUGGAUAGUUGGAUUGGUUUAGUUGUGAAAUUAGAGUGGGAUCAAUCAAGGUCGAGACUUUUUUAGGUAAGAGUAAUUGUGAAAGUUAUGUUUUUACCAUUUUUUAGGUAAAUUUUAUGACUUGGUGGAUCUAGAAUUUUGGUUAUAUUACAUAUAUUUGUAAAGAAAACAGUUGAACUGCAUGAAGCUUGAUGUAAUUCUGCUUUUAAUCAAUGUUGGACUUGGGAACCCUAGUGAAUAUAGAAGUGAAUCUACGAUUAGUUGAGAAACUUAAGGGAGCUUGACGGGUAAUGAGGGUUUAUGUAUUUAGUGACAUUCAGGCAAUGCUUGAUGUCUAUUUGAUGUCGGCAUAUUGGAAAUGCUUGAACAAAGAAGAAGGGUGCUUGAAGAGCUGCAAGUAGUGAACUACUUGGCUUGAUUAGAUUGCUAUGUUAACCAAAAUGUACCCUGUAAUAUGUUACAGGGUUAAAGUUUUACAGUAGUGUUCUUUAGCGAUUUAGUUUCAAAAUUUUCGUUCGACUUUCCUUGCUCUGUGAGGUCAAUGUUAGAAUGAUUAUGGAAAAAUGAAAUUGUUUGUCCUAGUAUCUCUGGUAAGAGCGGGUAUGCGUUCUUCAAGGACUUGUUUGUCAUUCUUUAAAGCUGUUUAAUGUGCUCAUUUCAGUAUGUGUCAUCCAAAGUCUAUAACUGCUAAAAGUAGCACUACAAGGCCGAGGGAGCUAUCAUCUGUAUGGAAAUAAGAGCUAUAGACAUGCCCCAUAAGGGUCAAUAGGUCUCAGCUGCACAUCUAAGUAUCUAACUUGUUUCUCAUCUGUUUUCAUCCUGAAGGUUAGAAAAGAUGGGUGCUCUAGACGUUCAGAGAGUGGUUCAUCGACACCAGGGAUGGCGGCUGAUCUCAUGUAUGUGGUUACAUGCUGGAGUUUUCCAUGUGCUUGCCAAUAUGCUGAGUCUUGUAUUCAUUGGAAUUCGGCUUGAGCAAGAAUUUGGUUUUGGUAUGCAUCUGGAUUUUUGGCUUCAUGUAUGUUAUCAUGCAUGUAUAGCCACAUCCAUAAAUGUUUGCAGUAAAAGAUAAAGCACACAACAUAAAUUGUAGAAUAAUAAAUUAGUUACCAAGUGCAAAACUUCUUUCAUAAAUCUAGAAGAGACACUUUCCGGAUGGUUUCAUCUACCUUGCGAUUAAUCUACAGAGGAUUUCUCUGCAUUUGUUUAUUGAAUUGUAAUCCUAGAGUAGUGGUCAUGUAGUGCUGGUUGCAUUAUAACUUUCACCAGUAUGUUGCUAGGUUUGAUGGAAACAAGAGGACGUUUUAUUCAGCGGUGAGCAAAGAAAAGAGUUUAUACACCGAAGAUGGGGUUCAAACUUUAGUUUUAGACAUAGUAUUUCAUUUUAUAGAAUAAAAUUGCUUGAAACAAAAGCUGAGAGAUUAUUUCAGUUUUCCAUCACAUCUGUGGGAACAAGGAUUGUUUUGGAUAUCCAGUACAUGUAGACAUGGUUCCUCAUUUUGAAAUGUUUCAAGAUGCCGUCUAUUUGAAAAGAUUGAAAAAAUAAUAGUUUGAUGCUGAUCUACAUCAUGUACGGUUGUUUUGAUGAACUGUUUUAACUAAUUGGUUUGAAAUUCUAAUUUUUUUUUUAUUUGUUCUUCGGCAGUUCGAAUUGGUUUCCUAUAUUCUCAUGUCUGGUUUUGGUGGGAGUUUGCUUUCAGCUCUUUUUAUUCAAUAUGGUAUUUCUGUUGGUGCUUCUGGUGCACUUUUUGGUUUACUCGGAAGCAUGCUUUCAGAGCUCAUAUCAAAUUGGACAAUGUAUGUAAAUAAGGUAAAUAAAGUUUCUGUAUACUCAACGAUGCACCUCUUUAUAGUAUGUGCACGACCCUUUGAUCUUACAGUUUCAGAUUUCAAUCCGCAGUUGGCAGCAUUGCUUACUUUCCUUUUCAUCAUCAUAAUAAACUUAGCAGUGGGAAUUCUACCACACGUGGACAACUUUGCUCAUAUUGGAGGAUUUGUCUCCGGAUUUCUUCUUGGAUUUUUUUUUCAUUUUGAACCAAAUGUUACAAAUUUCAAUCAAUGCUCUCGAGUCUUGAACCAAAUGUUUUUUCAUUUUGGAUGAUUGCCAAAUGUUUCCAGAGAGCUUCUGAAGUCAAGGUGCUUUAAGGGUCUUGGUCCUUGGCGUACCGAAAAUGCCAGACAAUAGGGCCCAGUAGUGGAAGUAAGCUAGUGAAGUCGUCUAAAAAAACAAGCCAAAGUUGUUCCUCCUAUGAUCCUAUCCUUGCUUUUCAGUGCAGUGUUCGUUUGCUGUAGGAGCUCCCUGCAGUCGGGACUCGGAGGGAAUGCGACGGAUAGGCUGGCGCUGCUUGCCAUCAAAGCUCAAAUAAAGCAAGAUCUCCAUAAUUACAACGUGAUGAGCUCCUGGAACGAAUCCACGCACUUUUGCAUGUGGAAUGGUGUGACGUGCAGUCGACGACAUCGUCAAAGGGUCACUACCCUAGACCUGCAAUCUCAAAAUCUGGUAGGGAAACUAUCCCCAAACAUUGGAAAUCUAAGUUUUC